rnacentral:lncRNA from 1 species
UACCAACUAAACAGCGAGUUGUUAUAAAAUCUUACCUGUUCCCCUUAAAGUUCGAUGUUGCAGGCUGCUCAAGUUUCGGUUUCAGCUCCUCAAUUCCUAGCACUCGAUUCUCCCGUUCCUUGCAGUCCCUUCCUCAGCUCUGGCUAAUUGAUUAUGAUGCUUACCUAAGUUGUAACUGUUGAUUUGUCAAGCCGCAGCCGCAAUUCUUGACCUUGGAUGGCAGAAUUUUGCAUCCUACAUCGAAGAUCAUAAACGGAAGGCUUCCCUCUUGAUCCCUAUAAAUAGAAGAGGCCAUUGAACGUUUGAUGGGCACCACUCAAGAGAGUUAUAUGGGCUAUUAGUUUCUUGAGUCAUCUAGCCCAUUUAGUCAAAUAUUUUAGACUCUCUUGUAUUGUGUUUAGGAAUAUUUCCUAAACCUUUUAUAAGUGCCUUUUGGCCUAGGAACCACUUUCCUACGGCUUUUGUAUUUCUUCUUCAUAGUAGAAAUAUUGCUCCUCCCUCGCCCGUGAACGUAGGUCAAUUUGACCGAACCACGUAAAUCUUCUGUGUCUUUUAUUUGCUUUGUUAUCCGUCUUUAUAUGGUCGGUUAUACCGCCUAAUUUGUGCUAACUUUAGUUUGUUUAUUCCUGGGCCGGUCCUAACAAACUGGUAUCAGAGUUGGUUGAUAUAUUUUGCAAGACAGGUUCAUCUGGUGGGGCCCGUUCAUUUGUGAGGUCCGUUCGUCCCGUGGGGCCCGCUUAUCUCGUGGGGCCCGCUCACCCUGUGGGGCCCACUCACGAGACUUGCAUAUUUGUUUCGCCAGUUUUUUAGACAAACUUCAGGUUACAGAUUUUGUGACAACAAUGACGAUAACAAAGACGGUUGUCGAGAAAUUCGACAGGAAUGUUAACUUCGGCAUGUGGCAGCUCAAGAUGGAGGCCAUUCUUGUUCAAGAUGGAGUUGAUUUAGCGAUUCAUGGAAUCGAGAACAAACCAGAAGAUGUAAAGGAUGCAGAUUUCGCUGAUAUGGAUAAGAAGGCUAGAUCCAGCAUAAUUUUGAAUCUCUCCGAUGAGAUAUUGCGUGAGGUAGCAACGGAGACUUCGGCCAAGACUAUGUGGGAUAAAUUGAAAGCCUUGUAUAUGAAGAAGACAGUCGAGAAUCGGCUAUAUUUGAAGCAGAGUUUGUAUAUGCUUCGGAUGUCUGAAGAUACAUCUAUACUCUCCCAUCUUGAUAAAUUUGAUUCCAUUAUUAUGGAUUUGGAGAAUAUAGAUUCGAAAAUUGAUGAUGAAGAUCAGGCCCUAUUACUUUUGUGUUCCCUUCCCCAAUCCUUUAAGUAUUUCCGUGAUACUAUGAUUUAUGGAAAGGAAACAAUUUCAUAUCGGGAAAUUAAAUCUGCACUAAAAUCUAAAGAGCAGAUAGAUAGGGAUAUUACUGGGGAAACUAGUGGGAGUCAAGCCGAUGGCUUAUUUGUUCGGGGUAGAUCUGAAAAGAGAAACACAGAAAAUAGAAGUAGAUUCAAGUCCAGAUAUAAAAAUGUGGUGUGCAACUAUUGUAAAAAAAAUGGCCAUGUUAUCUCUGAUUGCUUUAAAUUGAAAAAUAAAGAAAAGCAAAAGGGGAAAUUUGUUGAGAAAAACACUGAAUCCGCUGAAACUAGUAUAGCAGCUGAUGAGAAUGAUGGAACCAUAUUCUGUGCAACGAAAAAUAUUUUUAGGUCUAACAAUGAGUGGAUUUUAGAUUCGGGUUGUUCGUAUCAUAUAUGUCCUAAUAGGGACUGAUUUUCAACAUAUGAAUCAACUGAAGGUGGAGUUGUCUUAAUGGGCAACAACGCUGUUUGUAAAGUUGUUGGUAAAGGUACGAUCCGGAUUAAAAUGUACGAUGGUAUUGUGAGGACGCUCACAAAUGUUAGACAUGUUCCAGAUUUGAAGAAAAAUCUCAUCUCUUUGGGCACUCUUGAGUCUAUUGGGUGCAGGUAUUCAGGUGGAGAUGGAGUUCUCAAAAUCACUCGAGGUGCUCUUGUUGUUAUGAAGGCACACAGAUCUGGUACUUUAUAUAUUUUGCAGGGAUCUACUGUUAUAGGUGCUCUGCUGUUUCAACAUCAUCUUUGUCAGAUAUAGACAUCACCAAAUUAUGGCAUAUGCGUUUGGGGCACAUGAGCGAAAUAGGCUUGGGCAUACUAAGCAAAAGAGGACUUCUUUGUGGACAAAGUACCGAGCCAUUGGAAUUCUGUGAACAUUGUAUUUUUGGGAAGCAGAAAAGAGUCAGCUUCAGUUCACCAGCAAUUCACAAGACAAAAGGUACUCUUGAUUACAUUCAUUCAGAUCUAUGGGGUCCUUCUCGUACUCCUUCUAAAGGUGGUGCCAGGUACAUGUUGACUUUCAUUGAUGAUUAUUCAAUAAAAGUUUGGGUCUAUUUUCUUAAGCAUAAAAAUGAUGUUUUUCUAACUUUCAAGCAAUGGAAAGUUUUGAUUGAGAAACAGACAGGAAAACAUGUUAAGCGGUUGAGAACAGAUAAUGACAUGGAAUUUUGUGAAGGUGAAUUUAAUGAAUUUUGUAAGAAUGAAGGAAUUGCUCGGCAUCACACCGUCAGGAUGACGCCUCAACAAAAUGGUGUGGCCGAACGUAUGAACAGAACGCUUUUGGAGAGAGCAAGAUGUAUGAUCUCCAAUGCAGGGUUGACAAACGACUUUUGGGCAGAGGCGAUCAAUAUGGCCUGUUAUAUUGUCAACCGUUCUCCUUCUGUAUUUCUUGAUUUCAAAACUCCUGAGAAAGUUUGGUCAGGUACUCCUAUUGAUUAUUCCAAUUUAAAAGUUUUUGGGUGUCCAGCAUACAUGCACGUGAAUGAUGGAAAAUUGGAGCUUAGGGCUAAAAAGUGCAUUUUUCUUGGAUAUGCUUCUGGGGUGAAAGGAUACAGAUUAUGGUGUCCUGAUCCCAAAUCCCCAAAAUUUGUAAUCUGUAGAGAUGUUACUUUUGAUGAAUUGUCUAUGUUAUCUUCCAAGAAGGAGUCUUCUAGUCCUUGUACUAUUGAUAGUACACAGAAGCAGGUGGAGCUUGAUAUUGACAGUUCUGGUCCUUCUCAAUCCAAAUCUUCUAUUCAGCAAGUACCAAUAGAUGCACCUGAAUCUACUGUUGAAGAUAGUUCAGAAGAAAAGGAGUAUUCCAUAGCCAGAGAUAGACAAAGGAGAGACAUUCGACCACCACAAAGAUAUGCAAAUUUAGUUGCAUAUGCUUUGUCUGUUGCAGAAGAAACUGAUGCAGUUGGUGAGCCUUCCACCUAUUCAGAAGCAGUUUCUUGUGAUGAUUCUGCAAAAUGGUUGAUUGCGAUGAAUGAAGAAAUUGAAUCUCUUUAUCAGAAUGAAACUUGGGUUCUUGUAAAACCGCCGUUAAAUAAGAAAAUAAUUGGUUGCAAAUGGGUCUUCAAGAAAAAGGAAGGUAUUCCAGGGGUUGAAGAUGGAAGAUAUAAAGCACGAUUGGUUGCAAAGGGCUAUAGUCAGGUACAAGGUGUUGAUUUUAAUGAUAUAUUCUCACCUGUUGUUAAACAUAGCUCUAUUCGUGUUUUGCUUGCUUUAGUUGCCAUGUAUAAUUUGGAGUUAGAACAGCUCGACGUUAAGACAGCUUUCUUACAUGGCGAACUUGAAGAACAAAUUUAUAUGAGACAACCCCAGGGUUUUGAAAUUGAAGGUAAAGAAGACAAUGUUUGCUUAUUGAAGAAAUCCUUAUAUGGAUUGAAGCAGUCUCCAAGACAGUGGUAUAAGAGAUUUGAUUCCUUUAUGUUGGGUAAUGGUUAUUUGAGGAGCAUGUAUGAUAGUUGUGUUUACUUCCGGAAGUUAAAUGAUGGUUCUUUCAUUUACUUAUUAUUAUAUGUUGAUGACAUGCUCAUUGCUGCCAAGAAUUUGUCAGAAAUUUACACUUUGAAACUGCAGUUAAAUAGUGAAUUUGAAAUGAAAGAUUUGGGAGCAGCUAAGAAAAUUCUUGGCAUGGAUAUCAAUCGAGAUCGAGGAGUAGGGAAGUUGUUCUUAACCCAGAAAAAUUAUCUUGAGAAAGUCUUGGAGCGUUUUGGCAUGAAAGAUGCUAAACCAGUAUCUACUCCUCUUGCUAGCCAUUUUCGGCUAUCUGCUGCUCAAUCACCAAAAUCAGAUGAAGAGAAAGAUUAUAUGGCACGGGUUCCUUAUUCCAGUGCAGUCGGCAGUAUUAUGUAUGCAAUGGUUUGUACUCGUCCAGAUAUUACACAAGCAGUCAAUGUUGUUAGCAGAUAUAUGUCUUGCCCUGGUAAAGCACAUUGGCAAGCUGUGAAGUGGAUUCUCAGAUACUUACGAGGUACUUCAAAUGUAUGUUUGGAGCUUGGAAGAAAUGAUAACACUUUGGUUGGUUUUGUAGACUCAGACUACGUUGGGGAUCUUGACAGGAGAAGAUCGCUUUCAGGCUAUGUAUUUUGUAUUGGCGGUUGUGCUGUUAGUUGGAAAGCUACUCUACAACCUGUCGUAGCUUUGUCUACUACAGAAGCAGAAUAUAUGGCUGUGACUGAGGCAGUCAAAGAAGCCUUGUGGUUGAAGAGUUUAUUUAGCGAACUUAGUCUACAUCAAGGUGUUACUGUUAUUCACUGUGAUAGUCAAAGUGCCAUACACUUGACUAAAGAUCAGAUGUAUCAUGAGAGGACGAAACACAUUGAUGUAAAGUAUCACUUCAUUCGGGAUAUCAUUGCUGAAGGAAAGGUCCUUGUUCAGAAAAUCAAUACCAAGGACAAUCCAGCUGACAUGUUUACGAAACCUCUUCCAGUUUACAAAUUCAAGCAGUGCUUGGAUUUGGUUGGUAUUCAUUGUUGGUGAGUUACGCCCAUUGGGGCUUAUGUGGAGAAGGUGAAGUAAUUUUACUAUUGUCAAUGGUGGAACUAAAAUUAUUCCAAAGUGGAGAUUUGUUGAUUUGUCAAGCCGCAGCCGCAAUUCUUGACCUUGGAUGGCAGAAUUUUGCGUCCUACAUCUAAGAUCAGAAACGGAAGGCUUCCCUCUUGAUCCCUAUAAAUAGAAGAGGCCAUUGAACGUUUGAUGGGCACCACUCAAGAGAGUUAUAUGGGUUAUUAGUUUCUUGAGUCAUCUAUCCCAUUUAGUCAAAUAUUUUAGGUUCUCUUGUAUUGUGUUUAGGAAUAUUUCCUAAACCUUUUAUAAGUGCCUUUUGGCCUAGGAACCACUUUCCUACGGCUUUUGUAUUUCUUCUUCAUAGUAGAAAUAUUACUCCUCCCUCGCCCGUGGACGUAGGUCAAUUUGACCGAACCACGUAAAUCUCCUGUGUCUUUUAUCUACUUUGUUAUCCGUCUUUAUAUGGUCGGUUAUACCGCCUAAUUUGUACUAACUUUAGUUUGUUUAUUCCUGGGCCGGUCCUAACAUUAACUGGUUUCUCUUAACCGUGCUCUCUCUCUUUUCUCACUCACUCGAGUCUGUUUUUGAAAGAAAGUAAGAAAGGACGACAGCUUUGGUUUUGCUCUCAGCCACCGCCAAUUUUUGUUUCUUUACGCUGUUCUCAUUCGGUUAUUGCUUAUUCAGCAAUUUGGUGAUGCAUUCCCUCCUGACAGCCGUCUCAAUUCACCACCCAAUCUCAGUUAGAUCCUAACCUCCCACCGCUUGGAUUUAGCAGAUAAUUGCCUAGCUUCCAUUCGGUUCCAUUUGUUUUUGUGAAAUUCUGAUAGCUCAAGUAAUGGCCGCAUGGCAAUUAGUCUAGAAUUUUAAGGUUAGUUUGGUCUUUUGGUUGUAGUUUAAUUACUCUCUAAGUCCUGAAAUUUUUAUGAUUUUAUGCAUGAACUCCUAACUUCAUUUGUAUUUUCGUGGGAAAUUUCUUACAUUGAUUUUUAACACAUUUAGCUUUAAGAAAAACUUAUUAGACAUGUUCUUGUUACAUUUUUAGUAUAGGUUACGUGUCUAAUAAUAUUUGUAAUUAACACAAUUUACGAUAUGCAUGUCAUAUAUUUAUUUAAUUCGUAAAAUUUUCUACACUUCUAGACAUGUACUUAUUGAAUUUAUUUUCAAAAUUCUCAAUUUAUAGGGAUUCAAUUAGACAUUUAAGUUAACCGUUUAUUCGUUAUAUAAUUUUUCUCAUAUCAAUGUAAAUAAAAUAAAAUAAUUUUAAGGUAUACACAUAAUUUUCUCGGGUUCUCACAUCCUUCCCCCCUUAAAGAAAUUUCGCCCUCGAAAUUCAUACCUUCCAUUAUAAAGAGUUUCAAGUAUUCUUUUCGCAUCUUAUCUUCUAGUUCCUGGAUUGCUUCCUAUAUCUCUUAAAUGCAACCCUUGUAUAAUUCGUAAGGAAAAAUCGUUCAAAACGUCCCUCACAUUUUGUAAAAUGACUUUUUUCGUCCCUUACUUUUAAAAGUGUACUUUUACAUCCCUUACAAAUUCACGUUGGUCAAAUUUGGUCCCUAUCUAGGUUUCCGACUAGUUUUGGCUGGAAUUCAUCACAUGACUUGCAUGUGAUCAUUUUUAGGAGCAAAAUUUACAUAAUCCAUCUAUAGUCCCUUACAUUUCACAAAAUGAAUCGUUUCGUUCCUUACAUUUCACAAAAUAAAUUUUUUCGUCCCUCAGAUUUCUCAAAAUGAAUUUUUUUUAUCUCUCAUUGACCACGUGUACGAAUAGUUUUUAUUUUUUUUAAAUUCAUGAAUAUAUCUAUUUGAUUUUAUCUAAACAGUACAAAUAAUAUAUAAUAUAUCUCUAUUUGAUUUCACCUAAACAGAUCAAUAUGUACAUGGGUUUAAAUCUAAUAAUUUUGUUUUAAACCUAUAUAUAUAAAUAUAUAUAUAUAUAUGUGAUUUCACCAUGUGAAUCUAUUCAAUAUUUGUAAUGUUUUCUAUUUUAGUAAUAAUUCAUUUAUUGAGUUGUUUAAUAAGAGUAUCUAAUUAAUUGGUGUUAAUUUGAAUUCUAUAGUCAUGCUAACAAAUUACAAUUUAAAUCUAAAAUUUUUACUCGCUACCUUUAAGUCCAACAAUUGAAUUUCUUACCUUAUGAUUAUUUUAAAAUUUGAAAAUGUCAAUUACUUACUUCUUUUUGUGAUACUUUUGCUUUGUUUAUUUUUUCUGUCUAAAUUUAAUUCGAUAUAAAUACUUGAUAAUGUUUAGAAUUAAAUGUCUCCUUGGUUUUCAAUUUUCGAGUAAAAGGAUUGAAUAUGAGUGAAAAACUAACAAUUUUUUUAAACCCCUACAUAUAUAUAUAUCUAUUUUAAUUUCACAUAAACAGUAUGUUUAAGCAAAAAUUAAAUAGAUGUUUAUUCAGGGGAAGAUUAGAUGUCCUUGGCGAUUGCAGAAGGAGCUACGAGAACUGCAGCAAUAUGGACGGUAUGUUGAAGCCGUGUCUCAUUGCUAUCGGGAGGCAAACAAGUCGGCGGACAGGUUGUCUAACGCUGGAGUGGAGGAUGGGCAUACUAUCGUUUAUGAGGGUUAUAGUGCUUUACCGAGGUUGGUGAGGGGGGACAUUACCUUGGAUGUGUACGGGUUCCCAAGCUUUCAUAGGUGCCGGUGGUAGGGGGUGGUGGGUUUGGUCAGGGUUUUGAAUUUGUACUCCUGGAAAUGGGUUGGACCCGAUCUGGGUAUGUUUGUUGGUUGCAGCAAUAAAAUUUUUAUUUUAAAAAAAAUAGAGAUAUAUUACAUGCUAUUUGUAUUGUCCAUAUAAGAUUAAAUAGAUAUAUAAAUUAGUUUAAAAAAAAGUUAUUCAUACACAUGAACAAUGAGAAAUGAAAAAAUUUAUUUUGUAAAAUAUGAGGGAUGAAAAAAUUCAUUUUUGUGAAAUGUGAGGGACAAAACAAUUCAUAUUGUGAAAUGUGAGAGACUAUGGAUUGAAUUAUGUAAAUUUUGAUUUGACAAUUUUGCCCUUAAAAAAUGAUCAUGUGCAAGGCACGUGGUGGAUUCCGAUAAAAAACUAAUCGGAAACCUAGAUAGGGACCAAAUUUAAUCAAUAUAAAUUUGUAAGGGACGUAAAAGUACACUUUUAAAAGUAAGGGACAAAAAAAGUCAUUUUGUAAAAUGUGAGGGAUAUUUUGAACGAUUUUCCCAAUUCGUAAUGGAUAAUUUUACCUCCCAUUCCCUAGGUUGAUUUACAUUCCCAACCCCUUGAUCCUGUCGGGGUGCUAUACACUCUAAAAGGUCAGUCAUCCGAUUUAAAGCAGUAGCUACUAGAUCACUUAUAUGGGUUCCUUGUUCCUGGUUCUAGUUAACUGCAAAUUCCUGCUCUUCCCCUUGCUCUUGGGUUUGCCUAGGUUUACGGCUUCGUCGUCGUGGUCCGACUUCUAUAUCUCACUACCAAUUUAUAUACAUAAUUGACAAUUAACAACAUAUACUUAGGUUAACAAGCAAUCUCAAUCCAAAAGCUAGCAAAUCCAUCAAAGCAAUCCAAAAGCUACAUAUACAUAUCCAUCCGUCAAGUUAAUUUGGGAUUUUUUUUUCCAUGGGGUGAUUUAGACAAAGUUGAAAGAUAAAUUACUCAAUACUUGAAUCGAAAUCCGAUUGGUAAAAAUUUGUUCGAUCUUAGUUUCCCAAUUAAUCAAGCUAAAUUUGAACAGCGUUUUAUGUUCUAUAACAGUCAAAUUUGAUAUAAAACUUGUUCAAACUCGAUUUGACAAAUAAACAAACCAAACUCUAAGGAUAAUAGCCAAUAUAAUUUUGGAAUGAUAGUGGACUCUAAUUAAAAUCCAUCCUUCAAGUUAAUCUGGGAUGUUUCUUUCCAUGGAGUGAUUUAGGAACUCUAGGAUCCAACCGCAAAUGCGAUAUCAAACUUUGAGAGACAAACUUCACUAAACGCAACCAAUAAUUGAAUAAAAAAAACAAAUGCGUUGGAUAUAUUUAAGAAAAACUUAUUAAUUAGGAUUUCCAGUCACAGAGCUGCAACUAUUUCCGCCAUAACAUUAGCGUCUUUCCCUUAUAUAUGAUAUAUUUAUUUCAUCAUUGCUUUCAGCAUCUAUUUCAUCUUUGUUUCCUACUUUUCUUUCAAAAUAUUUUACCAUACAAAAAUUUCUUUAUUCAUACUACAAAAUCCAUCCUAACUUGAAAAAAUAUUUGAAUUAGGGUUCACACUUUGCGAAAACCUAAUAAGCAAAAGAUAGUGUAUGAUUGAAAUAACGUAGAAGGAGAAAAGAUUAAACAAAUCAAAUCUGUCUUCCAAUUAAUUUUGCAGCAAAUCAGUGGGGAACCACCAAUUUCAGCACAAAAUAUAAUGAUAAACAGAGGGAGAAAAGAAGAUGAAGUACUUUUUAUGAUGAUUUUGUUACAAACUAAAUAUUUGUUAAUUAAAUAUUUUGAUAAUCAAUACAGGCUUCAAUAAGCUACUCAUUUCUAGCAAUGAAAUGGCACAAUAUGGUAAGCCAUCAAUUUAAACUCAGUUUAUACUGAAAGUAUAUAGAAGAUUUACUCUUUUAGCUCAUUGCAUUUGGUGUCAUUUGCUCCGUAAAAGAGUUAAAGUGUUUUAGUGUGAACAUGUAUGCAAUUGAAGCAGUCAAUAGUAGUUCUAUACUUCUCAUAAUGGCUCCAACCCUCACCUCCAAUGUGUUUUCCUUUUCCUUUUCUUUUUGUGCUUUUUAUGUGUCUCUAUGGCACCCAAUUUUUUUUAAAAAAAAACCAAGCACAUAUUUUAAUACUACCAAAAAGAAGGGAAAAAAUGCUUGGGUAGAAAUAGUUUGUCGACUCAUUUGUAGACCAUAUUGGUAUUCAAGAAUAAUUACUUUUGACAUACGAUGACAUACAAAAAGUGGUAGUUAUCAUGUCUGAAGAUGCAGGAAAAUUAAUGUAUCUCUUAAAAAUGUAUAUGAUUCACAAGUAAACUCAUAUACCAAGAACCUACUAAAGUGUUUUUCAAAGAGAAAAAAAAUGAAAAAAUAAGUGUCCUACCAAUAUAGGACCUAACACUCUACCGACACAACCCCCAAAAAAAAGGAGAGAUUGAAACUUGAUUUGCCAAUAUGUCCAAAAUUGUAUCCCUCAUUUAUGCUUGUGUGAGGAACCAAAAAACAUUUAUAACAAAGAAUGUUGAUUGAAAAGGAACUAACAAAUAAGAUAUGGAGCACUUUGACAUUCAAUCAAUAGCAACCAUGUCAACUUGUUGCAUAAUGCGCGCAGUUUUUUGACUUCCAAUCCAUUGUAUUUUGCUUCUUUUGCUCAUGACCCUACGCACGUGGUAUAUUGAACAAUCUGACUUGCUUAAUCUAGCAAGUGGUGCCUGUCCAUAUGCAUCAAUGUCUACUACUUGACCUGUACCACUGAGCACCACUCACUGAGUUCAUAUUAUUGAUUGAUAAAGUUGAUCUCAGAAAAAUAUUAAAAAUAAAUCAUUAAUUUAGGGAUCGAGACCUCAUAAGUUGAAUUUCUAUCUAGUUUAUGUAGUUCAAACUGACUAUUAUAAUUCUUAUAAUAUUUAUUGUAAACUCACGUAGUUUAGAUGUAAACUUGAAUCUAUCAACUUAUACAACUAAAUUGAUGCACAGUUUAUAAUUACUUCAAAAUUGAACUAAGUUUAUACCAGAAGUUAUACAAAUUAUAAUAAUCAGUUUGAACUCGACGUAUUUUAACUUGUGAGGUCAGAUCCCUAACACAGACUGAUUUUUUGCUAUAUAUACAUGUCAUCUUUACUCUUUUCAAACACGAAUUGCAAAGAGAUUAAAGAUUGGAAAUGGCUAAAUCUCAACUGAUCAGCUACAAGACCUUGGUUGCAGUCCUCUUCUGCUUUCUCCUCAUUGCUUCAAUCGGUUAGUUGUCAAAAACUUCCACUAUUUAUACCAAACUUUGCAGUGAAUCACGCACCUGAAGUCAUUCUUUAUUCCAAUUUCCCAAGUAUGUAAUGCUCUGGCAUGUUGUCAUUUAUCAAUAUUACCAUUACAUAACAAAAUUUUAAAAAGAAUCAGUAUAGUACUUAACUACUAAUAAUAGUCUUAAGUCCAAGACAGAUUAUCAAAGUUGGAUAUAAAAUGCAACUCUCUUACACUACAUAAACUAAUGGAUUUUUUUUUAUUUUCUGAAAUGCGGUCAUCAACUUUUUCUUUUCUGUCAACCGGCAUUUAUAACUUAGCCCCUCACUUGUUCUCGUUCUUUACUUAGGCCUACUAUACUUCCUUAUGAAAAUUAAGAGUUGUAUGAAAACCACAUAUUUACAUUAAUCUUUAGGGCCCUUUAGAAACUAUUAGAAAGGGUAAACUUGAUUUAGCUUUACUAAGCAUCAUGCUCUGAUCGCAUAAACAAAAACAAUUAACAUAAAAUCUGAAAAUUUUUAACAUGUUCUUGCUUAUUGUAUACAGAGUUACAGAUGGCGGAGGCAGUAGGAAAAAUUUGCUCGAAGCGCAGCCAGACAUGGACUGGGAUAUGCAUAAAAACUGAGAAUUGCGACAGCCAAUGCAAGAGUUGGGAGGGAGCUCAGCAUGCAGCUUGUCACAAAAGCGGCUUUGGAUUUGCUUGCUUCUGUUAUUUUAAAUGCUGAGGGAAAUCUCCAUCUUUGGUUCCAUUAAAACUGUCUGUGUUUCCUGUUUCUGGAGUUACAAAAAGCUAGCUGCUGCACAUUCCCAAGAUUUGCAUGUAGAAAAUGGGAACAAAUGCUGUACUAGGCAUAACUAUGAACGGCCAGAGUAGUUUUACUGUUGCUAAAUAAGGAUAUGGCGUUCCUGUUUGAUCUAUUUGUUAAUGUUAUUUCUUGUUAUCCUAAUAUUGGAAUAUUAUGCAAGAAUCUUGUAUUGAAUUUUAUUUUCUAAUAUAAAAGGUCAUGUAAAGUCGGCUGCCGCAGAUGACCAUGGCAAGGUGCCAGCGAAAGUGAUUGGGAAGACGUCUACCUUGCGGCUGCAGAUGGGCGCGGCUGAGCCUCAAGCGGGACCGAUAAUUACGAACCUUGUUCCUAUCAGCACGAAGGAUAAUGUGGGAGGGCACUCCAACGAGAGUCUUGAUGGGGCAGUUAUGCGACCACCCACUAUUGAUAUGCAUCCAGAUUUUGCUGUGGGGAAGAGUGUCGCGGCUGACAGUCAGGCAAUGGCCGCCGUGGAAGAGACAAGCGAAGGGGAGGUGACUGCCCUGCCUGGGACUGGUGAGGGGAGCAUCAAAUCUAGAGGAAAGGGGAUGGCAAAGGAGGCUGGUAGGGUGCAAGCAGAAGGGCGGACAGCAAGGGAUUUAGCGGACGCACUGAGGAACUACAGGAAACUCAGCGACGGGUGGGAAAUUUAUCCCCUAGGGGCGGAUGUCACAGGAAUGCUGUUCAAGGGGAGGCAUCGCUGCUGGAAACAUUGCAUAUAGACCCGGUGGUGAUCUCUGGCAGCCAUGCGUAGGAGAAAACGGGACUCAAGGAGAUGUCCUUUGCAAAGUCGCGAGUAUUCGUUCAGGUUUCCCUUCUGAUAGAACUCUAAGAUCUAUGGUGAAUGCAUCAACAAAUUCCUUCUCUGUCUUAUCUGAUGAUUAAGUUGCUUUUUUGGAAUAUAAGGGGAGUGGCUUGAGCUCCUAAUUUAAAAAGACUGAGGAAACUUAUCAAACUGUACUCAUUACAAUUGGUGAUAAUUGUUGAACUAAAGACCGGGUUGGAGAAUAUUACUGAUAUUAGACUAAAGUUGGGGAUGGACUGUUGCAUAACCAAUCAAUGGGGUUCUGUUUGGGUGUUUUACUGGUCUUUGUUUAACUGUCAGAGUAUCGGGAAGUCGCCCCAAAAUUUAACUAUUCAAGUACAAUCUCACCUAUUUCCAACUUCCAUUAGUUUGUCAUGUAUUCAUACUAAGCACACGGACCAAGAAAGUGAAUUCAAUGUGAUUACAAAUGAGAGGGAAAAAAAGUGCGGUUUGCCAUUCACACCGACGGAAAAAUUGGAUUUCUUGAAUUUCAUGUCAGUGGCGGGAGUGAGUGAUGCAGGGUACUCUGGGUCGAGGUAUACUUGGUAUAAUAAUCACUCGGGUGCAGCUCGGAUUUGGAAGCGCCUUGACAGACUACUAAUAAGUGAGUUAGCUUUGGAGAUGCAGCAACAAGUCAUGGUCCAGCAUUUGAGGCAUGAUCCAUCAGAUCACUCCCCAUUACUACUCUCAGGGGUUACGAGGUUGGACAAUAAACCUAGGCCAUUUCGCUUUUUGAAUGUUUGGACCACACAUAAGGACUUGUUGGGGUGGUUAAAGAUUGCUGGUCUCAAUCGGUCAGUGGGUGUCCCCUGCAUAUACUGGCAACGAAGCUUCGGAAUGUUAAACAAUUCCUCAAAUAAUGGUCUAAGAAUUUGUUUGGUUAUAUUUUUGAGGUAGCUCGAUGCACAAAGUGCAAGGUAGUGGAUGCCGAGAUGAAAUAUGACCUGAAUUCCACGGAUCAACUGUGCUGUGAGCUGCAUCAUGCUCGAGGGCGGCUGCGGAGCGCGCUGACACUCGAGGAAGGUUUUUGGAGGCAGAAAGCACGGGUGAAAUGGCUUUUGGACGGGGAUAGGAACUCCAAAUUCUUUCACUCAGUGGUAGCAGAAAGUAGACGUCGGGCGGUGAUUCAUCGGAUUAGGAAGGCAGAUGGAGAGUGGAUCGAGGAGGAGCCACAGAUUGGUGAUGCGGCGGUAAGCUUCUUCCAGGAGCUUUUCACGACAGAGGGAGGCUCGACAUCCAAUGAAAUUUUGAAGUUCAUUCCAGAACUGGUCACUGCCCAGGACAAUUCGCUGUUAAUGGAUUCCUUCUCUUCAAGACAUCAAGGACACAAUCUUUGCACUGGAUGAGGAGAGCGCAGCGGGCCUAGACGGAUUCACAGGGAAAUUCUUCACCUCCGCAUGGGAGAUGGUAGCCACGGAUGUGUACAUGGCGGUAGUGAGCUUUUUCUGCGGUGCUGAGCUCCCUCGGAGUAUCACAGCUACCUCAAUUGUUCUACUGCCAAAGGUGGAAAACCCACAAGACUUUACUCAGUUUCAGCCCAUAAGGCUGUGCAAUUUUGCUAACAAAAUCAUCUCCAAGUUUCUAUCGGAGAGAUUGGCUAAGAUAUUACUCCGGAUCAUAUCUCCACAGCAGAACGGUUUUGUGCAAGGGCGAUAGAUUGCGGAUAAUUUUUUGCUAGCUCAGGAGUUAUUAACAAAUAUCAAGAAGACAAAUCAAGGUGGUAACGUGGUGAUUAAAUUAAACAUGAUGAAAGCAUACGAUAGAGUCUCAUGGUAUUUUCUUCUGCAAGUGCUUCGUCACUUCGGGUUCAGUGAGACCUAGAUAGACAUGAUAUGGCACCUGGUCUCUAAUGUCUGGUUUUAGGUAUUGGUUAAUGGCUCUCCACAAGAUUUUUUCAAGUCUUCAUGGGGCUUACGACAAGUGGAUCCCAUAUCGCCAGCCUUAUUCGUUAUUGGAGCAGAAGUGUUGUCUCGAGCCCUAAAUGCUUUAGUCACACAGAGGCUAUUCACCCCUUUUAAACUACCUCUUCCUUGCCCUGUAGUAUCGUACUUGGCGUAUGAUGAUGAUGUUAUCAUAUUCUCCAGUGGUAUGAGAUCUUCUCUAAAAUUGAUUAAAAGGGUACUGGAGGAAUAUAGCGUUGCAUCAGGCCAAUGGAUCAAUCCCCAAAAAAGUUGCUUCUUGACUCAUCCGCGGUUUCCGUCACAGAGAGCAGCAUUGAUUGGAUAGGUACUUGGGUUUCCAAAGCAAGCUUUCCCGAUACAAUAUCUAGGAUGUCUGUUGUACGUAGGAAGGUGAAAAAAGGUUUACUUUGCAGAUAUAUAUAAUGCAGUGGCGGCUCAUAUCCUAUCAUGGAAGAAUCAGGUUUUGUUAGCCGGAGAUAGAGUGGUAUUGAUUAAGAUUGUGUUAUCCUCAAUGCCGAAUCAUUUGCUCACAGUUUCUUCUCCUCCAAAGGGGAUAUUCAUGGCAUUGGAGAAGUUAUUUGGAGAAGUUCCUUGAGGGGGUCAUCUGAUUUUGGUACUAAAUUCCACUAGAUGCGGUUGAAAGAUUUGUGUCGGCUGCGGGAAGAGGGGAGUAUUGGUCUACGUGGUAUUAGGGAGGUCUACGACUUAAUUUCGAUUAAACUCUGGUGGAAAUUUAGACAACAGCAGUCGCUAUGGGCAGAGUUUAUGUCAAGAAAUUAUUGCGCGGGGUUGCAUCCUUGUCUAGCUGAGGAUAGCCAUUGGAGUUCCCAUACGUGGAGAAGGAUGGUUGCGGUGCAGCAAGUAGGGGAGGACCACAUUAGCUGGAUCGUACAGCAAGGAUCGAUGGAUUUUUGGCAUGACAACUGGAUGAGAUCAGGAGUCUUAUGCAACAAGGUGGAGAUCUUUCAUGACCAUUUGGUGGCUGAUUUUGUCGAUCAGCGGGGGCUGGAAUGUCGUCAUGCUUAGUCAGUAUUUGGAUGCGGCUCUGGUAGGGUGAGUUCUGGAGGUUGCACCCCCAUCCUUUCUGGGCAAUGAUAGAAUGGUUUGGACCUUGACAAAUUCUGGCACCUUUUCCACAUCAUCGGCCUACUCACUUGUCGAACGGGUUACUAACAGCUCAUGGCUUUCUGCCUUUGUCUGGCAGCAGUCUUCCAAUUAAAAUCUCUUUCUUUAUGCUAUGACAGCUGCAGGGCGGGCUCUCUCUUACGGACCAAUUGAGGAGAUUUGGGAUAAGCGGCCCUUCUAGGUGUUGGUAUUGCCAGGAUCCACAGGAGGAGGACCUGAAUCAUGUUUUUUGUUCAGGAGAAGGGGAAGAUUGGUUUGGCAUCAUUUCGAGAUUAAUAUUGGUGAAAUGAGGGAGUGAAUACGGUGCGACAUAUGGUAUGGUUUUGGUGGUUAAGGAGAGGGGAUAACAUAUUUUUGAAGUUUUUGAAUAGUGUUCUCCCGUCGGUGAUUUGCUGGGAAUUAUGGAGGACAAAGAACAGGAGGGUUUUUGAAGGACGGAGAAUGAGGGUCAGGGAGACUGUGAGUCGGAUAGUCCAACUACUAAGUGACAUCUUUCAUGUACAGUUCCCGAGGAUUCAGUGGUCAGAUUCCUAGUGGGAAGGGAUGCUUCGAGAGUUGGUUAACCGACAAAAGAGGAUGAUCAUUCAGUCGGUCAGCUGGGUAUCCCCGCAGGGGGGUACAAGUUAAAUUCGGAUGGAUGUUCUCUGGGGAACCCAGGAUUGAGUGGAGAAGGUGGUCUAGUGCGUGACUGUCUAGGUAAUUUUGUAUUUGGUUACUCGGAGCACUUUGGGACAAUGACUAGUCUGCAUGCGGAGCUUCGGGCACUGCUACUUGGCAUUAGAUACUGUAUUGCUCGAGAAUACUUGGAGUUACACUUAGAGGCGGAUUCUCUUACCCUUAUUUGGAUCGUUCAAGGGGUUAGUGCUUGCCCAUGGCAGUUGUAAAGGGAGCUAGAUGAGUUGCUUAUAUUUAAACAACAUUUUCAAAUGAUUUCACAUUGUUACAGGGAAGCGAAUGCUCCAGCUGACCGUCUUGCAAAUUUGGGUGCUGAUUCUAACGCAGGUCAGGUGUUUAAUAGGUUUUCAGAUCUACCACGGUUGGUCAGGGGGGAUAUUAGAAUGGAUAAGUUAAGGUUUCCAUCAUUUCGUAGACAGGUAAUUGGUUAUCUGUGAAUGUAUCCAGCCAGUGUAAGCAUGAUUACAACUUUAAUGGAAAGUUCAAUUUUUUCAAAAAAAAAAAAAACGGACAAAAGCACUCUUCAUGUCCGGUUUGGCCAUUGUAUUGAAUGGAGUGAGAUGUGAUCGUACAUGAAGUAUCUAAAUAAUUUUGGGAUAUGAUGUAUGUGAAAAAAACUAUUUUUUGGAAUAUUAUUUAUAUAUCAAUUAUGUUUGGUACUUUUUUCUUUACUCUUUACUUUGUUCCAUUUUACAUUUUUCUUAUUCUUUUCUGUCUUGUAUGACUACUUAUUUUAAUUUUUUAGUAUUAUUAUUCGUAUAGUAUUUUUAAUGAACUUCAACUUAUUCUCUUUUCAUCUCUUUUCUAUGUUCAAUUAUUAGUAGUAACAAUAAUUGCAAAGCAUAUUUUGUAUGGUAUUCAAAUUAUUUAGGUACAUUUAAAACAAAUGAGCUCAUAACAAAUCUAAUUACUAGUAGUAAAGUGGCAAUUAAUAAGAUUAAAAUAAAAACAAAAAUAUUAGUAGCAGUAUAUUAUUCGUUAACGACACUUUUUUAGAAAUUUUUUACUCAUUUGAGAAGAUAAAAUUUUUGUACUUUUUGUUUUCUUUUUGGAAAACAAAAUUAUUCUAAAUAAUAUUUUGCUUACAUUACAAACACAAUUUGCAAUCAACUUUUUAUUUUUCCAAUCAUCUUUUUUUUUACAUACAUCACAUCCCAAAAAAUACUACAAUAGUUAUUUCAAAUAAUUUUCUUCUUGGAUUGUGAAUAGUCCAUGAAGUGCAUAGAGGUGCUAUUCUUCCACACCUACAUCUUGAAUAGAAGUUUGUUGCUUCAUAUGCAUUGCUUGAGCUACAACUGUUAGGAUUGUGCUCCAUGUGUGUAGAAGACUGUGCAGCAUCUGUGAAGAAAAGGAAAUAAAGGAUGUGAUGAAGAUGAUAAUAAAUGAGCAGAAGGGACAAGUGAUGGUAGGUGGAGAUAGCCAUUUAUACUCAUUUGGAAGGAGGGCAAUUUUGUCAGGAAAUUUCAACAGACAGAGCUUGCAAGACACGCGCUUUGUUUGACCAUGAAAUUUGUGAAUGAUAGUUUUCUUAGGGUGCAAAGUGCCUAUAAACAUACUUUGGGAUGUAUUGUGCAAUAGUUAUAAAAGUUCAUGACAGUUUUUUGCAUUUAACCUUUAUUUUUAUCUUCUGCACAAGAACUGUAUUGAUCAAAACUUUAAAACAUGGAGGUUUUUGACUUAAUGGGAAUUAGGUUGUUUGUUAGAAAGAAGAUGCAAAAUGGACUAGAGAAAGGUGGAGGCGGUUUGGGAUGUUAAGAUUGGUCGUUGAUGGAAAUUUGUUUUGAGAAAGCAUUGAGGUUGAAUUUCUUUGAAAGAUUAGUGUCUGUUUAGGGUGAUAGUUUUGGGGCAAGGUGAAGAGCCCUGGUUGGGAUUUUUUGGCCGCUGGAUUGGUUUGAUUAUAUUGGAUCGAAUUUGGGUUUUCUAUACCGGCAGAAGUGUGGGCCUUCCAACCUACUUACUUUAAUCCUUAAAGGAUUCCCUUGAUUGGGAAUAUAUUAUAAUUAAGAUUUAAUAUUAGCAAUUAGGAGUGAUCUUUACCUAUAACUAUCCAUUUAAUAAUAGAAGAAAAGGGCAGCUUCCACACCACAUUAAAAAAAAAUGCAAGCUUUAGUUGGCGAAGCGCUUGAGCACUUAUGAAGCUUGGGUUGACAAUUGGAUAUCCAGCACUGAAAACCGUCUUUACAUUGGAUGGUUUGAUCUUUUGAUGAUCUGUAGGUUGUUUGGAACAUAAAUGGUUCAAGGAGUCGAGGAAGGAAUUAGGAAAAUUUGUUUUCUCCUUUUUUCUUUUCAAUGUAAAAAAGGUAAUUUAUGAUAUUUGAAAAAAAUUUUAGUUUGACAUUAAAAGUCAGGGAGGUUUGUGCAAUUUUAAAAAUUUGAGAUGAGCAACAUGAAAUUUUUAGAAACCACAAGGAAGGUUCUGAAAUUAUUCCCUAAUAAUAAGCUUGUGGUCUGUACUUUUUGAGAAAUUUUAUUCAAUGUAGUAGGGGGCAGGGUCAGAGCUAUUUACAUUUGAGGGUGGGUAAUUGCUCCCUCAAAUUUUUAAAAUUCCCUUUUAUACCUUACAAUUAUUGUCAAUUGUAUUUUUAUUUAGUUAUAGUUUAACAGUUUGUACCCUCUCAAACUACAGAAAUUGUGUAUUGCACCCCCACAAACAAAAUAAUAGUGGGUACUUACUAAAAUUUAAAUUAAUCAAAACCCCAUUAUAAUAAGAAACAAGUGAAGCAAAAUCCAAAAAAUAUGAAAUAAGAUAAUACAUGUAUAAAAAGUCAAAUGAUAUGAUAUUAGAUUGAAAGAAAUAUUAAAGGGAUAGCCAAUUAUAUUUAUUGUAUUGAAGAGAUAAAAGAGCUAAUUAUGGGGAAAGAAGAACAAAAAAAAAUACACGUAGAAUAUUUCUACGUUACAAAAGAUUUCUCAGAAUAUUUCUUUGUUUGCUAAAUUUGAAUUAUGCUAUACUAUUACUUCUUUAUUUGGUUGAUUUAUUAACUCACUCUCUGAUUAUUUGUAAUUGUAUAACUUAUUUGGGUAUUAAAUACACUGCAAUUUAAUACUCACUGAUUGUGCAUAUAAUUUUGUAAAACACAAAUACUAGUUAUUCAACUAACUAAUAAAACACGAAGAAAUGCUAAUUCUAAUUUUGCUUUUCAAGAAAACAUUUCUUAAGAUUAGUCGCAUUAUGCUAACUAUCAAUUAAUAGUACAAUAUAUUACCCAUCAUAUAAGAAAUUAGGCGUUUUCGCAUCUUGUAGUUGUCCAUACCAUCAAGAUAGUUGUUUUGAGCCUUGACCAAUUCCAACUACCAUCAAUAUUGUUGGCUCUCAAUUCAAUCCUUAUAUUGACCAACAACAAACAAUUGUCCCUCGUGAUUUUGGUCAUGACUCCACCAUUUUGGUCGUGACUCCGCCAUGCUUUGUUUCACUUACGAGUUACAAAGGAGGAAACAAAGAAAGGAAAUACAAAAAAUUUCUCAUCCUUUUGUUUUUUAUGCAUGCAUACGUACAAUCGUGCCAUUCCUUGGAAAUUUGCUCAUACCACACUAUUGUGCUAUUUUCUCUGAAAUUUUCAACAAUCAUGCGAGCAGUAAGAAACUAUUUCUAAAGAAAUGGCACUAUCAAAGAUAUAUUGACUUAUAUAUUAUAAUCAUGCUGAAGCUCCAAGGAAGAUUACUUGACAAAGAAACGUUGGGGAAGAAUAAUUUUAUCUGAACGACUUUUUUAGUGGCAUAUAUUAUGUCUUGCACACAGGCAAUUAAAAUUUGAAUAUGGAAGUUGAAGAUUAAUACCUAAUUACCCCGUGUGCUUUUGAAUUAAAAGGAUGAAAGUUUUGUUUCCAAGAAUGGCAUUUACACAAGGAGGCGUCACCUAAUAUUUACAUCCAGCUACAAUAUUUCAGUUUUACUCUAAUAGUAUCUCGAGGCAUCCUUUUAGAGCAAAACUAGAGAAAGUAUUUUUUUAUAUAUAAAAUAUCAUCAUUCAUUAAAUCUGUACUAAUAAUAGAAAUUACAUCAACUAUACACAGAUACAAAUAGAUUUGAAGAAGAAAAUUAGAUACUACAGAUGUGAAAAGUCAAGAGAAUAUUAUAGGGUGAAAUUCAGAAAAUCUUUAAAAGAUAAAGGGCUUGUACUCCCAUGAUCAUCUAUCUGUGCUUCCAAUUGCACCACUUACUUUCUCCUAAAUCUGCUAAUAAACUGAUUCAAAUUCAAAUGUUAAUGUGAAAUCUGACAAGAUUAAUUAAGGAAUCUCAAUUCGACAAUAGAAUCUGAGAAAAUUUAGAUCAAUAAGAGAAAUAUAAACUAACAAAACUCUCAUUAGAAAUUCUUAGAAAAGAAUAGACUUCGUUAGAAAACUCUACGAGAGAAAGUGUCUGUUUCUUGUUGUAAAUGUUUCACGCAACUUGAUAAUUUGACUCUCAUUUAUUAUAACAGCCUGAUGUGUGUUGCGUAUUGGUGUUGUGUGAACAUUACUAUGGAUGCAAAGUUUGAUUUGGUAGAGCUAAUAUAAUACAUGCGUGGAUCGAAAUGAAGGACACUAUAUUACCAUUAGUCAACUAUCCAAACUUAUUACUAAUUAGCGUACAGGUUUGGUGUAGUUGGCAGGCUACCUCUAAUAUUAUAUUGUCUGCGACUUUGUCUCCUCAAGAUAAUCGAGACGGGAUCAAAUAAUAGUUAUUAUAUCAGGGUUAAGAACUAUUUCCAAUUAUUUACCAAACUAGGUUUUCAAGAUUACCAGUGAAUACUAUUUCUUUUUUCUUUUUCUUUUGCAUUGGAGAGCUAAAAUCCAUAAUGACGUAACCAAACUCUUAGAGUCAGAAUCAACUAAUUAAAAAAAAAAUAUUCAAAGUUCCAAAAACUCUAAUACAUGUCAAAGUUACACAAGAUUUUUUUUCCAUCUCUCUCCACACCUUUUCCAUCUCCAAUUGGCAGGCAUGAUAUUUGAACCCUGAAUCUAACAGUAGAAAAGAUUUUGAGUGCAGUGAGUAGACUAAUCUCUCAAACAAUCGAUCAAAACAAGAUUCUUCAGUGGUAAGCCUUCAAGUAAUUGAUGAAAUAAGCACCAGAUCUCACAAGAUCUUUCUCAAGAAACAAAAUUUUAAAGAGUUUUUCCUGUAGUUUAAUUUUUAGUAACAAGUAAUGGCAUAUUUUACGAACACAAGGCGUUUGAAGAAGUGAAAGACAUUGAACUAAAGUAAUUACGUGCAAUAAACUGUGAAAAUUAGGGGCUGAAAUUAGAAAACGAUUCUUUCGAAGGAAGACAAAAGUAUGCGUUAAUCCUUAACAGGACACUGACAGCGAUUUAGAAUAACACUAUGCGGCGAAGGAUGUCCAAAUUUAGUUCCCCACAAUUAUUAAGACGGUAGGAAAUUAAGCUAUCUUUUGAUCUGUUCAAAUUUUGUACCGGUCCUAAUGCUAUUAAUUAUGUCCUUGGAUAAGUGAUGUUUGCUGAAUGUACCGGUCCUUAUUCUAUUCGUACAUUUCCUUUUGUUUGAUCUUCCACGGAUAUGAAUGAUUCAAAUUUCAACGUAUAUCAAGUUGUUGAAAAGCUCGCUAUAUGUGCCCUGCUAUAAAUUCUUAUCAUCCUUGAUUUUUUUAUUCCACGCGCUUGGUAAAAUACAAAUAAUGGACAUGGUUAAAUCUCAAGAAAACUUAAAUAGAUCAUAGGUAAAAAGAAUUCUAAAAGCUUAUAUUUCAUCUUCCUUUACUAGAUAGUCUUGGUUGUCAGAAAAUAAAGCACAAGAAUGUCCAUUGAAAACUUGAGGGAUAUGGGGUUCAAGUUUCAAUCCUCAAUAUAAAUUUUGGACAAUGUACAUAUGUAUGUAUACAUUUAUAUGUGUGUGCAAACUGUAUAUGUAUCAUGCAUGCAAUAGCUCAAUUAUCAGCAUUCCAUUGCUGCCGUCCUUCCUGCCUUGUGGCUUCUACAUUCGAAAUUGAUGUACCAAAAUUCGGCAUGCGUCCAUCGAUUGUAUGUGAAAAUGAUGUAACCGUCGAUCCCGCAACCAGAUGAGUUUAUACUUAAGCUUUGCGACAUUAUGCUAAUGUUCAUUAUCUUUUCCACUAAAAGAGGUUAGAAAUUGCUGGACUUAAAAAUUUCAAAUCUUAAUGAUGUUGAUGCUCUAUUUAAACUCCUUUCGUAAGCUAAUUCUGACUUAGACUUUGUCUUAAUUCUUUGAUAUUUGUAGCUUUCUCUUAACAACUCAGCGAUAAGAAGUUUCAACACAACUACCGAUUAGGUUUUGGCAAAUUGCACCAUCUCUUGCUAUAAAUAGUUAUCAUCAUUAACUUGUGUUCUCACAAGCAUAGCUAACAUAAGAUAUCGGAGAUGGCUAAAUCUCAAUUCAGCUGCGCAACCUUCUUUGCCCUGCUCAUCUGCUUCCUCCUCCUCGUACCAAAUAGUAAGUUGUAGCUAGUCUUUAGUAAGAGAGUUUACACUUCUAUAGUCUUAAAUGGUGAACACGUGCAUAGAAUGGCGUAUAUUUGUACAUUCCCAAAGUUUUAAUUAUUUGUCUCUACCUCUCUCUUAGUUAGAGAACUUCGAGUAGAACAAACAGAAAUGGUUGUCACUAGCAACGAAUUAGAAUAGUUAUAAGUGUGUAUCAUGUAUAUGUACACUCACAAUCAAAAUUUUACGAACUAAUUUGUAUUACAUAUGCGCCGUAUGCUUUUCAAUAAAUGUUUUUGCUUAAAGUUUAGCCCUGUACUCUGCUUUUGAAUUUUCUCUCGCGCUUUCUAAUUUCUCGUGACAUGUAAUUAUACUGCAAGUAUACAUGUAUAGUGUUGCGAAUAACAAUACAUGUGGCAUAAAAAUAGAAAAUGGGAUAAAGAUUGACACAAAAAAUGACAUAGAGGAACCAUGCCCUGUAAUACUAACAAACACCUAUCCCUUAGGUGGACGGGCUAGAUCCCUGAUAUAUACCAUACACUUUGGACUAACUCUAAUGUUUUGCUUUGUUUCAUGCAGAGAUGCCAAUGGCUGAAGCUUCAUUUUGCAAGAGGCUUGCCAAGAACUGGUCCGGGGAUUGUUCCUCUGACAGGUGCUACAAUUAUUGCAAGUAUACAGAGCAUGUUUACUCCGGAGAAUGUAAUUGGAAUGGCAAUGGUCAGCAUCGUUAUUAUGCUUGCUACUGUGUCUACAACUGUUGAAAGCCUACUAUUUUCUGCAAUUUGCAACGUACUUUGUAUUCAAAUAAAGGCGAACAAUUCACUAGAAUUGCAUAUGUGCCGCCAAUAGUUGUUGUUCCUAUGUCAGUUGCUAAUAACGUACGGUGCUGUCUGUGUUAUCAUUGAAAAAUCACUGCUCAGUGAUAACUUAAUCAGUCUAUCCAUGUGUGUCUGUUGCGAUCUGUCUUGUAUUCAUUUAAAUAUAAAUGGACUACCUCUGUCCAAGUAUAAGGGUCAUCUUCUGUGAUUUCAACUUGUUAUGAGUACAUGUGAUUAUUAUGUUUGGACUCUGAUAAACACCAAAAAUAUCUGCUAAAGAAUUGGAUGCAAAAAAAAAAGUCUAAUGAAAAAAAAGAAAGAAAGUCAUAUGCACAACCAAUAUUCUCCAUGAAAAACAAAAAAUAAACACUGAUUGAAAUAUAAAAAUUGGCCUUGAAAAUCUUGCACUCCCUAUGUGCCAUAUUUGAGGUUUUUUUUUUUUGUUUUUUGAAAAUCAAACUUUUUAAGAAAAAAAAUGUAAUUAUUAAGUUUGAAUGUACUGAUUUUGGAUGAACCUUAAACAUGGCCCUCACAUGGAGUGUAGUGGCACGCAAAAGGUAUUUUUUUCAAAUGGUAAAAUGGAAAGUUGUGUUGAUUUUGAAAAGAUGACCCUUUGUUUGGAAUAUCCAAAAGGUGAAAACAUGACACUAAAAAAGGAUGGUUAUUUUACCAUUUUACUGUUUUACUUUCCUUUUUAUUUUUUUUGAAGGUUUCCGUUGACUCUGGCUUAGCUUCCUUUAGUUUAGUUGAAUAGAAAACCGAAGACCAUGUACUUUAUUUGUUUUCCAUUAAUUGACAUCAAUAGGGUGGGACACAUUAUAAAAAUUCAUAAUUUUUUCAAAGAGUGAGUUUGUAGGAGUUUUUGGUGAGGCACGGGCCCCAAGUGUAAUUUUUUUUAAAAACUGGAAGUUGGGAAAAUGUAAGGGAAUAAUAAAUAUUACUGCAUGCUAAAGAAAUACAAAAUAAAAAUUAAUCAAAGCCAUAAAUAGGUAUAAUUAUUCUAUAAUUAAAAGAUUGUAUUGUCUUGGUUAUAGGGACUGUUUUCAUUUUCUUUUACAUCUAGAUUUUAGAUUUUUUUUUAAACCAAAAAGGUCAAAAUCUAGAAUAUACCUAGGACUUAACUUAAUUGAUUCUGAUUUUUUUUCUCCAUAAUUACAUUCUAUGAUCAACUAUUGCAAAAUUUACAACAAACAAGAAUAGGCUAAAAGAAGCAUGAAUACCAAAAAAAUAAAAUGCGGAAAAAUUUUCUAUAUUGGGAAUAAAAGUUGAAACAUCUUAACUGACUCCAUAAAGUUUUGAUUCCAAAUUACUCCCUAAAAAGAUGCUUAUCUUAAGUGAAUAUCAGCUCAUAACAAUAGGUAACAUUGAAGAUGUGCGAUUGGUUUUAUUAGAACAAAUUCAUGUUGAUGUUCAAUGGAUUCCUAGAGAAGCAAAUAAGGUUACACAUACUUUAGCAAACUAUGCUAAAUCUACCAACUAACUGAAUCUUUUUGGAAUUCCCCCUGACUUUGUCAAAUAAAUUGUGUUGUAUGAUUUCCGGCUAACUUAUUAAUAACAUUGGUUUUGCAUUUUCUAUAUAUAUAUACACACACACGCAAUCCUCCCCACAUAUAUAUUCCGUGUAGAUAUGGGUCUUUAUGAAAUUAUUGAAAUUGUUAUGGCCAGGCUGAAUUCCUAAUUUCAACCUAAGCUGAUAUCAUAUCCUAUCCAAUGAAGGAAAAAAAAUCCUGAAAAUGACAAUAGCUGACUUAUGAAUUAAUGAAAGAACACUUAAGAAAUUAAUUAAUCUCCACCAAAAUUAAUGACGUGGAAUCUAUAUUAAUUUUUGUAAAGAAUUCAAUCCUGUGUUUUUGUAAUGAGAAAGCAACAAUAGCUGACUUAUUCAUAUGUUGUACGGAUAUUCUUGAGAAAUGCUUGUUGCUUUACUGGCCAAAAGUCAAUGUUAUUAGUAAAAUCCCAAAGAGUCUUUUGGCUGAACAAGAAAAGAAAUUAAAUCCCACUACAAAGCCGUAGCACUGUAAAGCUGAUCCGUGUUGAAUUGCCCAAGUUGGGAUGGACGAGCGGCCAAUGACAAUGACCAAGUCACCGGCAAAUGAAAGAGACACCGUCAAUUAACGCCAGACUGGAUUGAUUCUCCAGUUAAUUUCACGGACAAAUAAAUCUUGUCAUUUCUUUGAAUACUCAAGUAGAAAUUUUGUAAGCAUGUGUCUUGGCAUAUCGAAGAGAUGGUUGCUGUUGGUUAUUAGUAGAAUUUCAAGUACUUUCAUCUGUUAAAGGUCAUAUAGCUGCGCAAGUAUCUUUGAGUGACAAAUUGGGAUUUAAUGUCUCUAUAUAGACUCAAGGCUCCAAAUUGGUUCAGCCCAAUGUUGUCCUUCGGUUCGAUAAAUUUUUGAGAAUUAAGAGUCAAGCCACUUUAUUUUCAAGUUGGGCUGUAGGUUCGAAAACUCUCUCACGUUACAGCAUUAAUAUUUCAUAUUUGUGUCAUCAAACAGAGCAAUUGAUUAUUGAAUUUUCAUUAGGCACUCGUUAAAACAUUUAAAUCAUACCUAAGUUAUUAUGUAAAUACAUACAUCAUAUUUAUUAUACCUCUGAAUUGGGAUACUUUCAGAUUCAUACCUAAGUUAUUAUGUAAAUACAUACAUCAUAUUUAUUAUACCUCUGAAUUGGGAUACUUUCAGAUUGCCAAGGAAAGAUCCUUUAAACUGUCCUGUGCACUAGGUUAGAAGUUCAAACACCGUUUAGUGUAUCACACAAGAAGUAUAGUACUUCUUGUUUUAAAAAUUCAGAGAGUGCAACAGUGUACUUGUCCGGUUUGAUUCUUCGCGCUCCUAACUCCCACACAUGCCUCUUUAGACUCCCCCCAAUAGAGUAGGAGUAGGGGUAGGUUAAAUAUUUUAGCAGAUAAAAAAAGAAAAAAAAAUUGUAAUACUUUUUCAAAUUAACUAUACUUUUCCAAAAACGGAACACUUGAGCCCCAUUUAAUCAAUUGCCAAUGGGUAUCCUAUACCCAAACUGUGAUGGCCCGGUCUCCUCCUAGGGCAUAUCCUAGAAGUUAGCAGACUGCCCGCCUGGCUUUCGCCGGGACUCAUUUACUAACAUUAAUUUCAGAGAUAACAAUUCUCAUUAAUCAUCCAAGCAUCCAUUCUUAAUACUUCUUAGUAAGACAAAAACUUUAUCCACUACAAAUUACAAAAGUGAAUCAUCCAAACGUUCAUUCUUAAGUACAUCACCAAGUAGUGUGAAAUAUAAAUCUAUCUGUUAAGAGAUACAAAAUGCAGGUCUUAACAUCAAUAUAUAACAUUAGACCUCCCAAAACACUCUAACUCUACUUGAUCAUCCUUCAGACUUCAACCCCUGUAAGGAAAACAAAACUAAAGGGCUGAGCUAAAACUCAGUGAGGUUUGCCCAGCAAGUUACAUUUAAUAAACACUUAAAUCAGUACAAUUAAGCAAGUAGUGCACAUUUCACUGUGCAAUCACUUUCAUUAAGUAAUUGAGAAAACACAUCAGUAAACAAUCACUUUUAAAAGGAUACGGUUCUCGCAUUAGAGCUACUUCAAUGUCAUUGAGCAUUCAUUUCUGUGUCAAGAGACACUCAUUUCAUUGUUAUUGUACAUUCAUUUCAAUAUCACUGCAAAUUCCGCCAAUUCGCCUCCUUAUGUCCUCCAAAACAAUAAACAAUCCACUACAUUCAAUAAUCAGUUCAAUAAUCUCCCAACCUCAUGGUAAUACUCAAGUAUAUUGAAACAUUUACCCAAAGCUACCGUCCUACCCGACCAAGCCCUUUGCUGGCUCGAAUAGUCCGUUGAAUAGAGGGUUUUGGGGCCCAGUUCAGCCGAUGCGGCGAGGCACACAUACGGCUUACAUUCAUGCACACUUACAGUAACAUUCAGUCAAUUAUCGACCUUCAAGCUCAACUAAGUCGAGUGCGAUAAAGUACACCCUCGACUUAGAAGACAAGGGACAAUUGAGAUACACUUCACAAGGAAUCAUUUAGUAAUAAUUCAUAAUAAGCACAUUUGUCACAUAAUUUCAUUUAGAUACACAUAAACAGUUAAACACAUAAAUUCGAAAAGCACUCACAAAUUAUCCAAAUAAUUUACUCUCAAGUCUCGGGUUUGUUUCCUGACUCGCAGCUACUUCCUAAGAUAAAUAUAUAAUUCCAUGGUAAAUUUAUAAUUUGUAGAUGUUCAACUAUUAUUUAAAUCAUUUGAAUUAGGUUUGACUUUAAAAUAAAAAAUAUAACAUAUUCAAUAUUUAUUCUACCUUAUUGUUUAAACUAUUAAAAUCAAGUCUGACCUUAAAAUACAAAAUAUACGCAAUAUUUAUUCCCCAAUUUAUUUCGAGACUUAUUGACUUUAUUAUCUUAAAUCAAGAAAUAUACAUACUUUCCAAAAUUAAUAAUUUAUAAAAUGUUUACAUUAGGAUUAAAUCAUUUUCUACUCCAGAUUCUAAGUUUAAAACUUAGGAAUAUUCCAUUGGUUCCCUUUUUAAAUUAGUUAAACUCUAAGUUAUUUGUAAAUUAAAUUUUAUUCCACUACAGUCGGCCCUCAAAUUUAUAGUUUUUAACAUAUGUGUAAAGACAAUAUUAAGUGAUUAGAAGCCAAUUUAGGUAUAUAACUAUCAUGAGUUUUCUUCUCAUUUGCUUUAAUUUAACUCUACUCGUGGAACUAGAUAUAGUCGUUAAAUCUCAGAGCAACCUUAGCUAUCAUUUAUGAAAGCUUACAGGGUUGGAAAUUAGAUGAAAUACUGUUCAAAAAUAGGUUUCCUCACGGCCACCAUUGUGAGGACCCGAAAAUUUUCUUAUUUUUAUAGAAUAUUACUGGAAUAUUUAAAUGAUUAUUCACUCAUUUUCUUCGAAUUAUUUAUUUCGACCAUUUUAAAUCCAUUUAUAUGGAAUGACGCCUCUUUAUAAUUUUAAAGCGUUUUGUUGAAAAAUUCGCUUUUCGAAAAUUUGAUUAGUCCGGAACGACGGGUGCAUGUUUUUCUAGGCUAUACUUGAAUAGGGAGUGUAUUAAUAUUGAAGAAUUAAGAACGAUCAAUAAUAGAUUAAGAAAGGUUAAUGGAGGAAUUAAUACUCAAUUCACGUGAGAACUCGUAAAAUUAUUAUUGUUAAAACCCCUAAUUUUGGCUCAAUUAAUUAUCUAUUUGGAUUUUUGCCCCGAAUAUUAUUUUCUAUUCUUAUUAGACCUAAGUACAUGGUUUUAUAGCUUCGUUAUAUUUUUAAAGUAUCUCGUUUCAAAAAAAAAUUAUUUUCUUAGAAACUUGUUUAGUGAAAAAGGGAAAACGUGUCUGAAAACUUUAGCCAUUUGGGAGUACAAUAAGCUCAAAUAUUUGAGACAUAUACAAUGGUCCUAAAAUACGCAAUUUUAGGCUUAAAGACUCAAGUGAUAGUUAGUGGUAUGAUCGUUACAAGAAUUUCUCAAAGGUUUCAUUUUAUUGCGCCUAAAUUGGAAAUACGUGUGCGCGCUUAAUUGAGGGACUUUGAACCAUUAUUUUGGGACAAUUAAGAAUGAAUAAUAUUUAUAUGAAUAAAUGUGCCCUAGAGGUUUAGUGCUAUGUUUUCAGACUCGGACCGGAUAUUGACUCGGCUGAGCUCAGGGGUCAGGGGUCAAUGGGUUCGACCGGGUUCAACCGGGGUCAAAUUAAAUGACAUCAUAAAUAUGUCAUAAAUAUUUAUUAAUAAUAUUUAAUCAAAAUAAGAUAUAAAAUUUAUCUUUAAAUUGGUGGUUUACAACUUCAUAAGUUUAGAUUUGUCAUAACUUCAAUGUUAUUAAUAAAAAUUAUUUUGAAAUUAAAAUAUUAUGUAAAAUAUCUAAAAGCAUGCUAAUAUCAAUAAAGGUGUAUACAUAUGUGUUUGAUGUUUCAAAGCUGUUUAACAAGAAAGUGCAAAGAAAUUAGAACAAUCAAAUAGUAAUUCAUAUAAUUUAAUGCAUAUUUACAAGUUCAAAGUUAAAUUUGUGGAGAAUAUUUAUAGACUAUGAAACAUUUUUAGGUAUGUUAAUAGUUUUUCAAUAUCCAAGGGGUUAGAAUACAAUAUUGAAAAAGCUUUUUGAACCCUACAUUAAUAUUCCCCCAAUUCCUUCCUCCUUUACCUCUAACCGCCGACAAAGGCUUUUCUAAACUAGUGCAACCUUUUCUUGUUCCUGUUCUCCGUUCAUUCCACUCUUCCUUUUUCUUUUUCUUUUUUUUUUAAAAAAAAAAUCCAAAGAAGGAUAGAACAUAGAAGGCCGCAUAAGCUCUCAAGUCUCAAGGCCAUCGGUGGCAAAAGCUCUUAGGCAGCCACUCCGAAUGUUUUGAGAAACAUUUCCCCUGUGUUUUGAGAUGGACGAAUUCGAAGAGGUUGAGCAAUCUUUAAGUUUUUCCAGCGAAUUUUUGACAAUGCUGUUGAUUUUUUAGUUCUCUUGAUAUGGAUUCAGUGCAAGAGUAAGCUUUACAAUAGACAUUGAAGUCUUGUCUGUUCUGGGUUCUGACUACAACUUCAAGAACAAAGUGGACAAGCUAGUCUUGUCCAUUCUUUCUGCUUUUCGUUUUUUUUUUUGAGUUUUUUUUUCCAUUCUUAUUUCUUAUUUCUUUUCAGGAUUUCCAUUCUUAUAUCCUUAGGUAUUUAUUUUCAAAACUAACAAAUAAUCAAACUUUUAUCUUUUUUCUUCAAUCUGCUCUUUUCUUCAUCUCUCUUUCUUUUUUUUUUUUUGGUCUUUUCCCCAUAUCUAAGAUUAAAUCUUAUUUAGAAAAAGAUAUCAAGCACUGAUUGUGGUGGCUAAAUUGAAGGAGCUGAGGAGGUGAAAAUGGGUUUUAGAGAGGUGAGAGAUCAGGAGGAUUUUAGAUGGGCAAAGAAAAAAAAAAAAAAGGCAACAAAAAGGGCAAACAAAAAAACCGGGUUCUUAUCGGUUUUACCGGUUUCCGGUCAAACCCGGUUUUGACCCGGGCUUGACCGAGUUUCUGUCAUCCGAGUUUUUAGAGCAGCUCGGACCGGACACUUGACCGGUUCCCGGUUGAACCGGUCGGACCGGCCGGUCCGGUCCGAGUUUAAAAACAUGGGUUUAGUGCACUAGUGCAACAAACUUAAGAGAAAUCGAGUACAAAACGCGCGCGUAGGCGCACUAGUUGCAAUCGAUUUUACGUACUUAAAAUAUUUGACGGCAAGCUUUCUUUAUACGCAAAGGAAUCAGAUCAAAACAUUCCUCUUUUCUUCUCAUUCUGGCCGAGCUGCAGCUGAGGCAAAACAUCUUCAAAUUUCACAAACUUCACCUCAAAAAUCUUGCUCAAACCUCCAUAGAUUCACACCAAAUUUCACAUACACUUAGCUCUACACUUGGACAACACUUUGAGCUGUAAAAGGGAGGAGCUUUCACGGUUUUCUUCAGGCUUCAAAGGGACCGAAAAUUCUGUUUAGACAAACCAUCAAAGUAGGUAAUGAUCUAAUACCUUAAACUUGUCCUAUGGAAGUUAAAUUACACUUAUGAGCUUGAAUUUGCAUAUAGAUUGUGGUUGUUGUUGGAGAAAUUGGAAAAGUGGACUCUAUGAAUUCCCAUUCUUGGGUUGCUGCUGAUUUUGUUCUUAAUGAUGUUUAUAAUGUGGAAUUAGUGUUUAAAUCAGUGGUUUGUUGAUGGAAAAGUGAUAGAAACUCACGUUAGGUGCAAAAGGCCAAAUCUGACCAUUUUACCCCUGCUCUGUUCAGUCACUUUAAUGCCGAAAUUUGAGAAUUUAAUGGCUUGAUUGUGUUGUUUAUAUGUUGUAGUAGUUGUGUAAAAAUUUUCAUUGAAAAAUACUGAGUUUUGGUUGGUCAAACGAAUUUAUUCCCAAAGCUAGUAAUCUGGAAAACAGUUUCGUCGUAAUCCAGACCAGUGUUCGUAUUUCGUCCAUAACUCCGUACUCCGACGUCGAAAUCAAGUGCCGUUAGCGGCAUUUGAAACUAUACAUUCCCAUUUUUCCAACGGUAUAUAAUGAACGUUCUGGUUCCAUGUGUGUGAACCGCACCACUCAUCUGAAUUCAGCUGCCCUGUUUCGCCGUUCUGCCGAAAUGAUUUGAUGAUACUGCAACUUUAGGCUUAAUUUCGAGCUUGUUGCAUGCUGAAACUUAAAAUGAUUUCUUCUGUGAAAUUAUAGUCCUAUGCAUGUAUUUUCUAACACUAUCAACCAUGCUCAAAUCCGAGUUAAAUUGAGUGAGUUAUGAUCAAAAUACGGUGACUGUUUUGUUCUUGAAAGCCUUGGAUUUGGACAGAUUUGACGUGACAUUUGUGGUGGUCUUACUAAAUGAAUUUCUUGAUACUAAAUGUAAGGCCCAAAACAACCAAUGCAAAGAUCAUAAACGAAACAAUAAGUAAAUAAAAAGGAAAGGAUUGCAAACCAAUUAACUACCCAACUCCUCUUGAGCUUGUAGAUUAAUUGAAACAAGCUACUUCAAGUUGAUGAAUUACAAUCACUCUUGUGUACAAUGGAAGGUUCACCUCCUCCUUGCCCCAAGCAGCACUCGGUCAAGCCAGGACGUUUUACUAUCCCUCAGGACAACCCUCACAAAGUUACACUCAUGAAAGAUUCACUCACAAAUGAAAAGCUUACAAUGAACCUCACACCACUAAAACUACAAAUAUUCUUUUUGGAGUAUUUUCUCACUAAAAUCUCUCUAGAUCUUUUGUAUCUUCAGUGUGCCAAAGUUGUUUUAAGUGUCUGACCAACCACUAUUUAUAUAGGACCAAGAAAGUGCCUCAUUAAUGCUUCCAACGGAUAGAAAGUAGCUGAACAGUCAACUAGCCGUUGGCAGUGUCGGACGUCCGAUAGCUCUGUUUUAUGCGUCCGACAGUAGGCAGAGAGUUUAAGACUUUUUCUUCAAUUCUUUCGGACGUCCGAUAGGCUGGUUUUCUGCGUCCGAAGGUAUGAUGUAGAACUGGAAAUUUUUCUUCAAUUCCUUAGGACGUCCGAUAGGCUAGUUUUCUGCGUCCGAAGAUACUCAAUGGUUGUCGGACGUCCGAUGCAGUCUUUUUGAGCGUCCGACAGUUUCAGCAUACUUUGUCUUCUUCCAAUUGCACUUGUUCAUGGAAUCAAAUAAUUUCAUAACUGAAAAUAUAUCUUGAAGAAAUAUUAGUAUCAUCCAUUUGUUUUGUAAACAUCAAAAGAUAGGGAUCAAAAUCAACAAUCUCCCCCUUUUUGAUGAUGACAAAACAAUGGAUGGAAAGAAACAAAAAUAAGUAUAAGCUCCCCCUCAAUCAUUGCAACCAAAACUUUUAAGAGCCAAACUCAUAAUCUCAAAAUAACUUCCCCUUACAAAUUGCAUCCAUUUCUCCCCCUUUUUGUCAUCAUAAGACUAAAAAUCAACUACUAUAAUCCAGCAACAAUAACAGAGAAUUCAAUAUUCCAAGAAAAAAUAGAGAAAUGACAGCAAUCACAGCAAAUCAUCAUGAGAUCAGCAUUAUUCUUUUAUCUCUCUUUUUGACAUCAUAUAGAUUCAGUAGUAUUCAAAGAUAUCAGCGAAAACUCAGAUCAAAGUAUCAAAAGAAAAAAUAUUCUGAACAAGAAUCACUGCAAUGAUUAGACAAAACCUCCUACUUGUUAAAAUUAGCAUCAUGUCUAACUAUCCGCAUGCAUUUCAUGCCUUUUUUUAUAUUCUUUCUCACAUAGCAAUCACUUUUCAUAUGACCUUUUUGACAACAGAAAUUACACAUAAUCAGGGAAUUAUUCAUAUGAACAGGUUUAAUAAAUCUUACUUGUCUUCUCCUAUGGAAAGCAAACUCAUUUGCAGCAGAAUUUAUCUUAAAAUGAGGUUUUGAUUUAUUACUUUGAAAACAGUCCUGUUUUUUAUGUUGAAGCAACUCAUUUAAAUCAUCCAUUCUUCUUUUCAAAUCAUCUUGUCCCCUUUUGAACAUUUCACAAAAACUUGUUUUUCUAUCAAGAUCCAAGUGUAAAGCAGUCUCACUUUUUUUGAAGUAAUCAUUUUCAGCUUUCAACUUUUUGUUUUGUUGAAAAAGAUUUGCAUUAUCUCGAAGCAAAAAACUAAUUUUCUAUUUUAAUUCCUUGUUUCUAACAUAAGAUUCUUUCAAACUAUCAUGCAAUUUUAUAAUGAAAGAUUCAAGAUCAUCAUCAUCUUCAUCAUCACUUUCACAUUGAGAGCUAGAAGAUGUUACCUCAUCAUCUCCAAUGGCCAUGAAAGCCAAUUGAGCAGAUUGAUCUUCCUCUUCAAUUUCACCAUCGGAAUUGCAUUCAUUCCAUGUGAAUUGAAAUUUGUUUAUUCUUGGUUUUCUUCCUUCUUGCUUCUUCAUCACUGGACAGUCACUUGCAUAGUGUCCAGAUUGGCCGCAUUCAAAGCACUGAUCAGUUUGCUUUUUGUUGAACUCUAGCUUCCCUUUGUUUCUCGAGUUGUUGAACUGAUUUGGGAAUGAAUUGCUAGGUCCACCAUUUCUGAAUCUCCUCUUGUUGAGUAUUCGUUUGAAACUUUUUGUGAUGAGAGUGAUAUCAUUGUCAUCACCUUCCACAUCUUCUUCAUCUAGGGAGGCAGAAUCAUCUUCAUCUUGUGAGGCUUUUAGAGCAAUAUUCUUUCGCACUUUUGCAUCCUCUUCCUCUUGCACCUUAGUCUUAAGUUUCAACUCAUAAGAGGUAAGAGAAUUAAUAAGAGAUUCAAUAGGCAUAGUAUUCAAAUCUCUAGCCUCCUCAAUAGCAGUCACUUUAUUUUCCCAAUCAUUGGACAAGGCAUUCAGGAUUUUUCUAUUUUUCUCACCAAGAGAAUAUUCUUUUUCCAGCACCUCUAAAUCUUUAAUGAGAUCAUUGAAUCUACAAUACAUUUGAUCAACAUUUUCAUGAGGUUCCAUCUUGAAAGAUUCAUACUUUGUAACUAGAGUGGACUUCUUUUGUUCUCUAACAUUCUCACUACCUUCAUGAAUUUCUUUCAGUUUGUCCCAAAUUUCUUUAGCUGACUUGCAACCCUUGACUCUAAUAGAUUCAUUUGAGUCUAAUGCACAAUAUAACACAUUCAUGGCUUUUGCAUUUAAGGUGAGAUGAGCUCUAUCCACAGCAGUCAGUUCACUUCUUGUUUUCGGUCUAGAUGCAUGAGUAUUUUCAUCUAUAAGAGAGGCAUCAUAUGGACCUUCACUAAUAAUAAACCAUAAUUCGAUAUCAAUAGAUUGCAAAAAGAUAAUCAUUCUUUCUUUCCAACUCAUAUAAUUUGACCCAUUAAACACAGGUGGUCUAAUAACAGAAUGUCCUUCAAAAAACAUAGCAUUAUUGGUUGUCAUCUUUACUCCAAAGCCGAUUGAGCUUAAUCUCUAGGAGACCAAGCUCUGAUACCAAUUGUAAGGCCCAAAACAACCAAUGCAAAGAUCAUAAACGAAACAAUAAGUAAAUAAAAAGGAAAGGAUUGCAAACCAAUUAACUACCCAACUCCUCUUGAGCUUGUAGAUUAAUUGAAACAAGCUACUUCAAGUUGAUGAAUUACAAUCACUCUUGUGUACAAAGGAAGGUUCACCUCCUCCUUGCCCCAAGCAGCACUCGGUCAAGCCAGGACGUUUUACUAUCCCUCAGGACAACCCUCACAAAGCUACACUCAUGAAAGAUUCACUCACAAAUGAAAAGCUUACAAUGAACCUCACACCACUAAAACUACAAAUAUUCUUUUUGGAGUAUUUUCUCACUAAAAUCUCUCUAGAUCUUUUGUAUAUUCAGUGUGCCAAAGUUGUUUUAAGUGUCUGACCAACCACUAUUUAUAUAGGACCAAGAAAGUGCCUCAUUAAUGCUUCCAACGGAUAGAAAGUAGCUGAACAGUCAACUAGCCGUUGGCAGUGUCGGACGUCCGAUAGCUCUGUUUUAUGCGUCCGACAGCAGGCAGAGAGUUUAAGACUUUUUCUUCAAUUCUUUCGGACGUCCGAUAGGCUGGUUUUCUGCGUCCGAAGGUAUGAUAUAGAACUGGAAAUUUUUCUUCAAUUCCUUAGGACGUCCGAUAGGCUAGUUUUCUGCGUCCGAAGAUACUCAAUGGUUGUCGGACGUCCGAUGCAGUCUUUUUGAGCGUCCGACAGUUUCAGCAUACUUUGUUUUCUUCCAAUUGCACUUGUUCAUGGAAUCAAAUAAUUUCAUAACUGAAAAUAUAUCUUGAAGAAAUAUUAGUAUCAUCCAUUUGUUUUGUAAACAUCAAAAGAUAGGGAUCAAGAUCAACACUAAACACCUACCAAAUGUACCAUGAAUGUUUCUUAAACUUUCCUUUCACAUAUGAACCAUGAUUGGAGGAUUUUCUUAGCCAAACGAUUGGAUUUGGGAAGAAAAGGAUUAAGGGCAGAUUGCCUUGAGAAUUUUUCCAAACUUUGGUUGAUUGGUUAACCACCUUUCCGAAGGUAUUUUUUCACGAAAUUUGAUAGAGAGAUAUCCUUCAUAUACGAGUACCAUACUACAAAAUUUGGUGUCAAUUCAAGUCCGUUUCGACACUUAACAAAAGGUCCAAAGUCGGAACCAAAUCUGAAAAUUUUGUAACAGUCUUGAAUUUUUCCCAACUUUGAGCUAUCAUAUCUUGGUGCUCGAAACUCCGAUUCUUGAUCCGUUUGUUCUGCCCUAAACCUUACUUGUACCUCUAAUUGAUCUAUAAAUUUCAAGGGCUGGUUUGCAACGAGUGAAUUCUGCCAAAUUUCCAAAGUUAGCGAAAAAUCAACCCGACUCAAUCCUGGGUGAUCUGGGACAGCAACUUUAAACUCAUUUUUGAAUACCUUCCAUUUAGAUUCGUGGAACAGUGUCUUCUAAGAACUUUUAGUAAUUUCCAAGAGGUUUCUAACGGUAUAAAUUUUUCCAAUUUUAGACUUGUAUCGAGUAAGAUACGAUUUUUCAAAGAUCCAUAUCAAAACUGAAAUUUUCCAACUUUCAAGGAAAUAGAGAUUUCCAAGAACUUUUUAUUCUUUCGACAUUAUGCAAACAUUUUAACCUCGAUUUCCAAGAUAAAAACCCAAAUGCUCCUGUACUUGAAGAAACUCUAAUUGAACCUCGAUUUACAAGUAAUUGAGGUUCGAUUUCGUGGAAUUUCCUUAGAUUGUACUAGUGUACAAUCUUCCUUGAUAAUUGGGAUAUAUGAAUGAUAAUACGUUAUUAUUUGUCCAGGCGCACACGAGGACCUUCAAGAGGAUCCUACCGUGCACACUUGAACUUCUAGAAAAUAUUUCUUCUUGAUUUGCUCGGUGAGUGUCAAGUGUAUGACUACUUGAACUCUAUGGACUUGAUUCAUGCUUGGCUUACCUGAUUACAUGCUUAGCCUACUUGGUUUUGAAAAAUGGAGUCGAGUGUGUACUUUAUCGCACUCGUUCUCAUUUGAAACAAAUAACUCAUGCUUAACAUGGUUUGCCUGAUCUACAUGACCUGAAAUACAUGCUUAGACCUGUCAAAUGCUUGAAUACAUGAUAUGGUAUGCUAUGGCUGCAUACGUCGUUGGAGUGAAUCUCCUCGACACUUACAUGACACAUGGGGGACGCCCAAACUCAUAGGCCGACCUUGGAACUCGAGCCAGCAUUGGCUUGGUCGGGAACCUCGGUGAGCCAUGAGAUUCAUAUGAUAAGCUUGAUCUAUUGGAGAGAUCUUGCUUGGCAUACUUGUGGAGUAUCGCCUCAUAAAUGUCGUGCGGGUCCGAAGCGGUGUAUGGUGGAUGGAUGAGAAGUAAGUGGUGAACUACGGAUAUGAAAUAUCAACCCGGUUGACGGAGAGUCAUCGCGGGAAGAUAUACGAAUGACAUCGGCAAAAUGUGGAACUUAGCUCCUGAGAGCUACCAUAUCCUUGAAUUGUUUCUGGUUACAUUUUUAUUGGCGUUAUUAAUUACUUGCAAGCUAUUACUUGAAUUGUUAUUUGGGUUUGUUACCUGAACUAUGUGCCUGCAUGUGUGUUCUUGGCCUCACGAGCGUUUUUGCUCACCCUAUAGAUUUGUUUUCCUUAACAGGUUUGAACCCGGAGGCGUACUGGAGAAACCCUCCUGAUGAGCUUUUGUUUAGGAUUUCUAUUAUAUUUUGGCUAUGCCCUUGGUUUUAGGUGGUACUUUUGGAAUUGAAAUGUAACUUUUGGGGCGUGAUGUAUAUUUGGGGAUUAUGAUGUACUUUGAACACCCAACGUGCGGGCUGGAUAAUGGAUGACUAUUGUUAAGUUUGAACGCUUUCGCAUUUACUGUAUUUAAAUUAUUUACGUGUGCUGUGAAGAUCGUUAAUAAGUUUGAAUGGAAUUACUUGAGUCCUGGCGAGAGCUAGGCAAGCGUCCCGCGGAUACCCUUUGGUUCACCUUAGGGAGAAGUGGGGGCGUCACAGUUGGUAUUAGAGCAUAGGCUUUAGAUCUUGUAGUGUAUCCUAGGAUUAAAGUUUAGGAUGCCUGACUGUGGGAUGAAUUUGAAUAUUAUGUGAACUAGAGGGUCUAUUGUAUCCUACGGGUUAAAGAAAUUGGUUACUUGAGAGUUUCUUACUUGGGACUUGUAGAAAUAAAAAUUGAGGAAUUAGCUGAUGUUAUAUUGAAGGAAAAUAUGGGAUGAGAGAUUAGUAAUGAAAGAUUGGACGAAUUUGAAUUAUUAUUAUACUUGUAAGUAUGGAAAGAAGUGAGACAAUUAUUAGUGCUGGCUAAAGCAGAUAAGAGACCGAGAUUUGAUGGUCAAACUCCAUGUAUCGUGAUUGUGAACCCAGAUGAAAGAGUUUCAAAGGUAUAAAAUGCAUUUUCCUGCUCAUUUACCUCCUAGAGAAAUUAUGCUUUGAAAUUCUAAAAGAAAAAUGGGGAUGUACUAGUUUUAUUUUCAAACGAUAAUUGGAAAUAAUAUAUAUAUGCUUUAAGUAUGUGUAAUUCUUCGAUUUUGGUAAAUAUGUGAAUUUUACUUGAAUUUCAAUUUAAAAAUUUGUGAAUAACUGAUGAGUUUGUUGAAAUUUUGUAUGUGAUGGGUUGAUACAAGGUUAAAAUUUUCUAAACUAGAUUUUCCCCCUUGAUUGUAUACUGGUGUAUUCUCACACUUGAAUUCAUCUAUGCUUUACAAAAUAAUAAUAAUAAUAAUAAUAAUAAUAAAAAUAUCUUGAAUUUUCGGAAGAACGGCGAACUUAUGUUUUUAUAAUGAAAAUCUUGAACUUGAUAAGAUUUUUGUUACUUUAAAUACUCUUCUUAUCUUUUAAAAUUCUUGGUUUUCAAGAAGGGUGAGCCUAUCUUUAGGUGUACGGAUUGAGGGAACUUUGAGAUAUAGAGUAACCGCAUUCAAGAACACGCAGUUAGUGUGAAUUGACUUGGUUUCCAUUUGACACGUAAGUUAGCAAGUUGUACUUAUUUCUUGGGUUUGAACUUGGAGCUUGAGGCUUUAACUAUAAAACCCUAAGACUAGUUAUUCUUGGAGAUGAUGGUGCUCUGGUUGGUGGCUUGCUUAUUAAAGAUUUUGAACUUCGAAUGGAUAACCUUUGGUUUCCACUUGUGUUAUGGUUUGAUUGGAUCUAAUUUCAUAAAGGCAUGUGAUCUGAUUGGAAUUAGUGAUAUUCGGACCCAUUGGUUUAAUUAAGGACUUAGGAAGGGUGGUGCACGCCAUGAGACCUUUUGUAUCCCGCUUGCAUAUACUUCUACAUUUUGUGACCCUUAAUUGCCUAUAUACAGUAUUUGACAUAUUGGUCUUGUUUUGUGACUUCUUAACUCGUACUAUAACCUUCGAUACAUGUAAAGAAUCAUGUCUUGAUUCUAAAUAUUUUUGCAACUUGUAUAUGCAUUAAGUUCUUUUAUGAUUAAUUAUUCCUUUUCUUGCGCUUAUAGACUCCUAUUAAGUAUGGUAGCAGGAAUAGGAAAAAGGGGUCGUGGCCGAGAGCUUAGACAACCCUGUACUCGUGAGAAAAAUUGAUGGAUGGCCUUAUAUAAUUUAAUGAGAUCCUAGUACUGAAUAUGAAUCGAGAAUAAACCAGAAGAUUAGAUCUACCAGUGUAUAAUGGAUUAACCUAGUUGGGAACUUAGUGAGAUUUUCCUGUGUGAAAUUUUAAUAACUGCUUUAUACGUAUAUUAUGAUUGGUCCUGUGGCCAUAUUUCAACUUUUGUCAAAGUUUGAACUCCAAAAGUAUUUCGUGGGUUUGGUGAGAUGACCUGAACUCAUUACCAAUUUGUUCUACUUGAACAAAAGCGCUUUCAAUUUUACUUGACUAAUACUAUACCCAGAUUCACUUGUUUUACUUUUCACAAAAUUUAUAUAUAUAUAUAUAUAUAUAUGUAUGUAUACAAAUUUUGAACUCGUUUGAGACUCGAAAUCAGAUAGAGUUCAAGUUCGAAUCUUUCUUAGGAACAUGAAUGCCUAUUUGUUAGGAAUCAGAUAUUAGAAAUGAUCGGGUUUUAUGUACCAGUAGAGUUAACUCUUGGUUGGAUAAAAGGGUGGUAAAGGUAUUGGAUCACAGGUUAUGCGAAAAUGAACCUACAUGUUUACCUAUCUUUCUUAAAGGUAUUUUCUAAAAUAUACGCCUUACUCGAACAUAGAUUUAACUCGAAACUUUGAGAAAAAGUGUUGGAACACCCUUCAUGUAUAUGUUAUGAUUAUUAUGUAUAUGUUUUAAAAAUCAUGCAUUAAGUUGCAUGAUUAAUAUUCUUAAAUCUAUUUGAGAGAUUUUAAAUAUGUAUUGAUGAUUGUGGUUAAACAUUAUUUGAAAUCUCUUACUAAGAAAAUUUAGUUUUGGGUCAUGAAGAAAAAUUUGUAUCUUUAACUCUAAUUUUGAAAAUUUUGAAUCGUAUUUUGCCACAGAUACAUUCAAAAUAGAUCAAAAGUCUUGACCUUAUCUUGUAAGUCAUGAUUGGUUUGAUUUAGACAAAAUUUUGAGGAAACGGAUUUUGGUCCUGCUAGUGCGUAACAGUUUUUUUGUUAGGAUUUGGAACUUGUUUCAUAUGGCGUAUAAUUUAUGGUUUUUUGGUUUCACUACACACGGGAGUAAGACCUUAGAAUGGAAGUACAUAUCAUUAUAUCAAGAGGUAUUACUUUAGUCGUGUGUGUGGAUUUUCUUAAGUAUCAUUCGAGGAGAGGGAAGAGUAAAUAUACCUGGAUGACUUAGAUGCGUGAGAAUUUACAGGUUGUGGAUAGUUGAGUUUCAAAUUCUGAUUUGCUACUUAUUUAGAUGCUUGAGCUGAUAGGCUAACAGUCAGGAUUAAGAAAAUGGAUGAAUGAAAAGUUUGGAAGAGAUGCGAAUAGAAAUAGAAAUUUUUCACAAGGAGUUGGAAUUCCAAACUAAAUUGGCUGAAUUCUGGGAAGAAAAAAAAAAGUCGAGAACUUAGGGUUGAGAUGGGAUCCAAUGUUUAAUCGCCAAUUUGAGAUAUUAAAAGUUGUGAGAUUUGGGUGAGUGAAAGGAAAUAUUUGAUGGCUUGAAUGAGCCUAACGAUUAGGGACCGGAUGGUAUAUUUGGAAUGGACGCUUGAGGCUAUAUAUACAUAGAUUAUUGAGAGUUGAACGAUGAGACUAUUAAGAACAAAUGCUCCAUAACCUCACAUAAACGAGAAUUAUAAUCAAGGGUCAGGAGCAGCGAAUAAGGGAUUUAAAGUAGAGUUACUACCAACCGGGAAUCCUAGAAACUGAUGUGCUUAACCACUUCCAAUUUAAGAUGGGGAUGCUUGAAUUUUCAGUUAUGCCAAUUGGGUUGACUAAUGUAUUAGCAGCAAUUAUUGCAUUAAUGCAUCAAGGUUUUAAAUCGUAAUAGGAUUAAUCUGUGAUGGCAUUUAUUGAUGAUGUAUUGAUAUACCCUAAAGUUUGAGAAGAUCAUGAAAAAAUACCUGAUGGUAGUUUUACAAACCCCGAGAGAACGCUAACUUUUGUUAAGUCCAAUAAAGGUGAGAUCGAUGGGAAGAAAUAGCCUUUCUAAGUUAUAUAAUAUCUAAGGAAGAAAUUGUUGUUAACUCAGCUUAAGUGGAAGCUGUUUAAGAGGAAAUGACUAGAAAAUCCUACCGAAAUUUGAAGUUCUUAGAGGUAGUCGAAUAUUACCUUGGUUUGAUCAGGGACUUCUAAGGAUACGAAACUUGGCAAGUUAUUUGAGAUUUUAAAUGUGAGGAAGAAUUUGAAGGUGAAAAUCGUUUAACCAGUGCACUUGUGUUGGCUUUACCGAGCGGAUAAGGUGAUUUUGUGAUUUAUACAGAUGGUUCAAAGGAUGGUUUAGAAUGUAUAUUAAUAAUAUAUGAUGAGGUGAUUGUAUAUGCCUUCUGAAAGUUAAAAUCUUCCGGAAGAAAGCAAUCAACUCAUGAUUUGGGGUGAGUUGGAAAACGUAAGUCAAUGAUUGAUCUGAUAGGCUUAACCAUGAAGGGAAUGAUAUUGUUCUAAGUAUGAAUUUCAAGGACGAAAUUCCUUUCAAGAAGGGGAGGAUGUGAGGAUCCGAAAAUUUUCUUAUUUUUAUAGAAUAUUACUGGAAUAUUUAAAUGAUUAUUCACUCAUUUUCUUCGAAUUAUUUAUUUCGACCAUUUUAAAUCCAUUUAUAUGGAAUGACGCCUCUUUAUAAUUUUAAAGCGUUUUGUUGAAAAAUUCGCUUUUCGAAAAUUUGAUUAGUCCGGAACGACGGGUGCAUGUUUUUCUAGGCUAUACUUGAAUAGGGAGUGUAUUAAUAUUGAAGAAUUAAGAACAAUCAAUAAUAGAUUAAGAAAGGUUAAUGGAGGAAUUAAUACUCAAUUCACGUGAGGACUCGUAAAAUUAUUAUUGUUAAAACCCCUAAUUUUGGCUCAAUUAAUUAUCUAUUUGGAUUUUUGCCCCGAAUAUUAUUUUCUAUUCUUAUUAGACCUAAGUACAUGGUUUUAUAGUUUCGUUAUAUUUUUAAAGUAUCUCGUUUCAAAAAAAAAUUAUUUUCUUAGAAACUUGUUUAGUGAAAAAGGGAAAACGUGUCUGAAAACUUUAGCCAUUUGGGAGUACAAUAAGCUCAAAUAUUUGAGACAUAUACAAUGGUCCUAAAAUACGCAAUUUUAGGCUUAAAGACUCAAGUGAUAGUUAGUGGUAUGAUCGUUACAAGAAUUUCUCAAAGGUUUCAUUUUAUUGCGCCUAAAUUGGAAAUACGUGUGCGCGCUUAAUUGAGGGACUUUGAACCAUUAUUUUGGGACAAUUAAGAAUGAAUAAUAUUUAUAUGAAUAAAUGUGCCCUAGAGGUUUAGUGCACUAGUGCAACAAACUUAAGAGAAAUCGAGUACAAAACGCGCGCGUAGGCGCACUAGUUGCAAUCGAUUUUACGUACUUAAAAUAUUUGACGGCAAGCUUUCUUUAUACGCAAAGGAAUCAGAUCAAAACAUUCCUCUUUUCUUCUCAUUCUGGCCGAGCUGCAGCUGAGGCAAAACAUCUUCAAAUUUCACAAACUUCACCUCAAAAAUCUUGCUCAAACCUCCAUAGAUUCACACCAAAUUUCACAUACACUUAGCUCUACACUUGGACAACACUUUGAGCUGUAAAAGGGAGGAGCUUUCACGGUUUUCUUCAGGCUUCAAAGGGACCGAAAAUUCUGUUUAGAUAAACCAUCAAAGUAGGUAAUGAUCUAAUACCUUAAACUUGUCCUAUGGAAGUUAAAUUACACUUAUGAGCUUGAAUUUGCAUAUAGAUUGUGGUUGUUGUUGGAGAAAUUGGAAAAGUGGACUCUAUGAAUUCCCACUCUUGGGUUGCUGCUGAUUUUGUUCUUAAUGAUGUUUAUAAUGUGGAAUUAGUGUUUAAAUCAGUGGUUUGUUGAUGGAAAAGUGAUAGAAACUCACGUUAGGUGCAAAAGGCCAAAUCUGACCAUUUUACCCCUGCUCUGUUCGGUCACUUUAAUGCCGAAAUUUGAGGAUUUAAUGGCUUGAUUGUGUUGUUUAUAUGUUGUAGUAGUUGUGUAAAAAUUUUCAUUGAAAAAUACUGAGUUUUGGUUGGUCAAACGAAUUUAUUCCCAAAGCUAGUAAUCUGGAAAACGGUUUCGUCGUAAUCCAGACCAGUGUUCGUAUUUCAUCCAUAACUCCGUACUCCGACGUCGAAAUCAAGUUCCGUUAGCUGCAUUUGAAACUAGACGUUCCAAUCUUUCCAACGGUGUAUAAUGAACGUUCUGGUUCUAUGUGUGUGAACCGGACCACUCAUCUGAAUUCAGCUGCCCUGUUUCGCCAUUCUGCCGAAAUGAUUUGAUGAUACUGCAACUUUAGGCUUAAUUUCAAGCUAGUUGCAUGCUGAAACUUAGAACGAUUUCUUCUGUGAAAUUAUAGUCCUAUGCAUGUAUUUUCUAACACUAUCAACCAUGCUCAAAUCCGAGUUAAAUUGAGUGAGUUAUGAUCAAAAUACGGUGACUGUUUUGUUCUUGAAAGCCUUGGAUUUGGACAGAUUUGACGUGACAUUUGUGGUGGUCUUACUAAAUGAAUUUCUUGAUACUAAACACCUACCAAAUGUACCAUGAAUGUUUCUUAAACUUUCCUUUCACAUAUGAACCAUGAUUGGAGGAUUUUCUUAGCCAAACGAUUGGAUUUGGGAAGAAAAGGAUUAAGGGCAUAUUGCCUUGAGAAUUUUUCCAAACUUUGGUUGAUUGGUUAACCACCUUUCCGAAGGUAUUUUUCCACGAAAUUUGAUAGAGAAAUACCCUUCAUAUAGGAGUACCAUACUACAAAAUUUGGUAUCAAUUCAAGUCCGUUUCGACACUUAACAAAAGGUCCAAAUUCGGAACCAAAUCUGGAAAUUUUGUAACAGUCUUGAAUUUUUCCCAACUUUGAGCUAUCAUAUCUUGGUUCUCGAAACUCCGAUUCUUGAUCCGUUUGUUCUGCCCUAAACCUUACUUGCACCUCUAAUUGAUCUAUAAAUUUCAAGGGCUGGUUUGCAACGAGUGAAUUCUGCCAAAUUUCCAAAGUUAGCGAAAAACCAACCCCGGCUCAAUCCUGGGUGAUCUGGGACAGCAACUUUAAACUCAUUUUUGAAUACCUUCCAUUUAGAUUCGUGGAAUAGUGUCUUGUAAGAACUUUUAGUAAUUUUCAAGAGGUUUCCAACGGUAUAAAGUUUUCCAAUUUUAGACUUGUAUCGAGUGAGAUACGAUUUUUCAAAGAUCCAUAUCAAAACUGAAAUUUUCCAACUUUCAAGGAAAUAGAGAUUUCCAAGAACUUUUUAUUCUUUCGACAUUAUGCAAACAUUUUAACCUCGAUUUCCAAGAUAAAAAUCCAAAUGCUCCUGUACUUGAAGAAACUCUAAUUGAACCUCGAUUUACGAGUAAUUGAGGUUCGAUUUCGUGGAAUUUCCUUAGAUUGUACUAGUGUACAAUCUUCCUUCAUAAUUGGGAUAUAUGAAUGAUAAUACGUUAUUAUUUGCCCAGGCGCACACGAGAACCUUCAAGAGGAUUCUACCGUGCACACUUGAACUUCCAGAAAAUAUUUCUUCUUGAUUUGCUCGGUGAGUGUCAAGUGUAUGACUACUUGAACUCUAUGGACUUGAUUCAUGCUUGGCUUACCUGAUUACAUGCUUAGCCUACUUGGUUUUGAAAAAUGGAGUCGAGUGUGUACUUUCUCGCACUCGUUCUCAUUUGAAACAAAUGACUCAUGCUUAACAUGGUUUGCCUGAUUUACAUGACCUGAAAUACAUGCUUAGACCUGUCAAAUGCUUGAAUACAUGAUAUGGUAUGCUAUGGCUGCAUACGUCGUUGGAGUGAAUCUCCUCGACACUUACAUGACACAUGGGGGACGCCCAAACUCAUAGGCCGACCUUGGAACUCGAGCCGGCAUUGGCUUGGUCGGGAACCUCGGUGAGCCAUGAGAUUCAUAUGAUAAGCUUGAUCUAUUGGAGAGAUCUUGCUUGGCAUACUCGUGGAGUAUCGCCUCAUAAAUGUCGUGCGAGUCCGAAGCGGUGUAUGGUGGAUGGAUGAGAAGUAAGUGGUGAACUACGGAUAUGAAAUAUCAACCCGGUUGACGGAGAGUCAUCGCGGGAAGAUAUAGGAAUGACAUCGGCAAAAUGUGGAACUUAGCUCCUGAGAACUACCAUAUCCUUGAAUUGUUUCUGGUUACAUUUUUGUUGGCGUUAUUAAUUACUUGCAAGCUAUUAUUUGAAUUGUUAUUUGGGUUUGUUACCUGAACUGUGUGCCUGCAUGUGUGUUCUUGGCCUCACGAGCGUUUUUGCUCACCCUAUAGAUUUGUUUUUCUUAACAGGUUUGAACCCGGAGGCGUACUGGAGAAACCCUCCUGAUGAGCUUUUGUUUAGGAUUUCUAUUAUAUUUUGGCUAUGCCCUUGGUUUUGGGUGGUACUUUUGGAAUUGAAAUGUAACUUUUGGGGUGUGAUGUAUAUUUGGGGAUUAUGAUGUACUUUGAACACCCGACGUGCGGGCUGGAUAAUGGAUGACUAUUGUUAAGCUUGAACGCUUUCGCAUUUACUGUAUUUAAGUUAUUUACGUGUGCUGUGAAGAUCGUUAAUAAGUUUGAAUGGAAUUACUUGAGUCCUGGCGAGAGCUAGGCAAGCGUCCCGCGGAUAUCCUUUGGUUCGCCAUAGGGAGAAGUGGGUGCGUCACAACCAUCAAGUAGAAUGCAUUCGGAAAAACAAGAGAGAGGCAACGAGAAAUGUAGCUUUGCCAAUCUCUGGUGUUUUGAUCAUAACUGAAGCUACACUUAUGGGAUUGAGGUGAAUUUUAUAGCGUCAACCAUUCUUAUGAAGACAUCGACACCCAGUUCUCACAUUUUCAGGAUCAAAAAUGGCCGGACAAAAGCACAUUCUGCUUCACUCCCUCGGCCAACCAACCUGCACUCAUUUCUACUUUAGCAUUUAGUUGAGUUUCUACUGGUUCCAAUCUUCCUUGUUGAGGUUUAAGGUCCGUAUGACAUGUUACAUUUACUGCACAGGUUUAGAAGUUAAAGUUUAUAGAGGAUCACCAAAGUUUCUUUCUUCCCCCCCCCCCUCGGUUGCAGCAAAUACUUUUUCCAGUAAAACAGUGGCUUAUCUUUUGACAUUUUCUCGCCUUUACUUCCUCAGUUUCUGGUCUCAAUCACUUAUGCAGAGGACACUCAAUCUACUGCAGGUUAUCUUAAGCUAAGCAGAGUCGUUCAUGACCAAAAUUCAGAGGAAUGCUGGGCUAAAUCCCGUGCCUGAGCUUAGCAGCAAAACCUGAUGCAUGGCAGCAUGCAUUAGACUCCAUCGAAUUCAGUUUUAUGUCCCAACUGAACGUAUAGAGGGUAAUGACUUAGCUAAAAAUUAUCCUAAAGAAAGGAUGACAGCUUAUGAUUAGAAUUCACGAGAAUACUGAAGAAAUAUCUGUUGCAUGCACUUCUUAAUGUUAUCAUCCCAAGAAAAAUUUGAUAACAGUUGCAGGUUCAGGCUUUAAUCUCAGUUUUCUGCAAUUUCCCUUUUCCUGCAAUUUUACAGUUGCUGCCCGACAUUUACUUCAGCCACAAGCUCAAAUUCCUAGCUAAAUUCGACAUGCAGCUGGUGUUUAUCCAUUUAUACCAACUAAACAGCGAGUUGUUAUAAAAUCUUACCUGUUCCCCUUAAAGUUCGAUGUUGCAGGCUGCUCAAGUUUCGGUUUCAGCUCCUCAAUUCCUAGCACUCGAUUCUCCCGUUCCUUGCAGUCCCUUCCUCAGCUCUGGCUAAUUGAUUAUGAUGCUUACCUAAGUUGUAACUGGUUUCUCUUAACCGUGCUCUCUCUCUUUUCUCACUCACUCGAGUCUGUUUUUGAAAGAAAGUAAGAAAGGACGACAGCUUUG